rnacentral:lncRNA from 1 species
GGCCAAUGGAGAGGUUCAAAUCCUUCCGUCCCAGGAUGAUAGGUUGCUCAAGCUGCUUUAGCUACUAAAGCGAGAGGUUGAAGUAGUCUCGAAUAGGAAGGAGAGGUUUGAAUAGGUUUUUAGUCUCGACACAAUAUGCUAAGCAGACGAAUAAAUAAGUACGAAAAGCAUCCUUGAGUAUAAGAUGGUCCACACAGUGGAAUAGGUCUUGUGAGUGAGUCCACGCUUUCCUUCCAUUCAAUCAAGUAAAGAAAGUUGAACUGAAGAGUGCAAGUGUAUGCAUGAGAUUGAAACCCUGGGUUAAGAGUCCUUGAAAACGAAGCUCAGGUCGAAGUAGAGGAAAGGAGUGCAAGUAGAACGAGAUAGAAAUCAAUGAUUUAGUAGGCCUUCUUGCUUUUCUUUCAGCCUCUUCUUCUUUCUUUAUGGAUAGUUCUUGCUGCAGAUCGAACGAGGAUAUGAAGCAGCCUUUCCCCCCAGACGGAGUAAACUCAUCCUGGUAACCUUUCCCUAGUUGAAUAUGAACCAUAAAUACGUGGGAACCGCUCCGUCCUCCUACGCAGGUUAAUAUGUAAUCCUUUUUUAGUGGACGCUACUUGAUUAUGGGGGGAUGAGACUGAUUUAUCCAUAUAGAUCCAUCGAUCCCCCAAUGCAUGCGAAACUGCACUUUCAAGAAUGAAAUACGAAGGUUAUAGGAGGAUGCCUUUUCUCCACUCUUUGCCUAGUGCUGGAUGGAAGAAGGGAAGGGAGAAUGCACCCAGUAGGUGGUAGCCAGACAAGAUUCUUUAGUCAAAGAAGGAAUCAAGCAAUCCGUACCAAGAAGACCUUCAGGCACGAGGUCUAAGCGCACCGACCUUGAAGUGGGGGUCCUUUUGUUCAUUGAGGCGGUUUGGGUUCAUUCUCAGUCAAAGACGCACACUUUCAGACAUCAGGCCAGGAAAUGAAGCAGAAUUCAAUAACGUAGUUCAUUCAUCGCCUCGUGGAAUUGAGUAUGAGAGAAUUUCCGUUUCAGAAGUUCUUUUAAGUGGACGUUGUUGAAGACCGUUGCAAAGCUCCUGCUUUUGCAGCCUCAUCUCUUGCCUCAUGACUGGCCUAAUGCCUUCUUUCUUUCUCUUUAUUUAUUGACUCCCAACGUGGACAAGAACUCUGAUGACCUACGGAUUCAAACCCAGCGCUUCGUCAACUCAUCUGGAGCUUUGAUUUGACUCCCCCAUUUUCAGAGGACGUGAUACGAUUCGCUAAUUCAGACCGGACGAGGCGCUCGACUCGGGUCAAGGGAAGAAGCUAUCUCAAUAAUAAGGAAGAAAAGAAGAGGUUAGGGUCGUCAUCAAUCAGUCUUCGCCUUAUUCUAAAAGUCAAUCUUUCACUCACGCAAUAUGCCUGAAAUUUGAAGGAGUCUUAAGACCGAAGGACAGACGGGUUAAUAUGGAUAGUCCUUCGGACCUGUCUGGCCUCCGUAGCUUAAUAUGAUUUGCUCAAAAAUAUGCGUUCCAAAGCGCUAAAAUUGCCACUUUUCAAUGUUAAAUAGCCGCUUAAAAAGUAUUAUGGAACUGAAAGAAAGAAAAUCUCCGCGAAGCUCAUAAUCAGAUAUAAGUCUAAGAAAGAAAUAAGAAGAUAUGAACUUUCUAUAAGUCCGGAGUAUAAGUAUAAACAAGUCCUCCUAUAAAAAUCAGUGAACAUUGGUCCUUCAAGGUGCAAUGAAAUAUGCGAUGACAUUCUUUCUUUUCUCCAAAAACAAAGGCGAGGCGCAAAGAUCGUGGCCCACUACGCGGUCCCAUAAGACAGGGAUAUUGCGGAGUCUUAUUCCACUAAAUGGUCCAAAGGUCCAGGUGCCAUAAGACAGGUCCGAAGGCGCCAUAAGACAGGUCCGAAGGACUAUCCAUUAGGGUGAGGCGCCAUAAGAUAUUGAUUGAGAAAUAAUAUUUCACUUUCUUUUCUUCCUUUUAUUUCAUUCAACGCAUAUUUCAUUGCGCCUUGUUCAUUGAUUGCGCGGAGCUCCGUGGGCAGUCGCUUCGCUUCGCGCCUUCUCACCCUUGUUCCAAGAACAUCGAUCAGUCGUCUUGACCCAGCCUCCGGCUUCUUAUUCCGCUAUCAAAGUAUUCCACUAAGGAAAUGCGCUUCUCAAAAUUCUUUGUCUCAAAUAGUGGAAUGAAUGAGUUCGGGAGGUUCCCCUAUAUUAACCUGAGGACUGAAAAGAAAGUGAAAUAUUCUGAAUUUCAUAUGGAAUCAUAGUCUGAAUUUCAUAUGGAAUCCUACUCAAUUCAUUCAGCCUUAAGAGUCGCUUCGCUUCGCGCACCUGGUCCGAAGGACUGACCGCAGAGGUUAGCGGUCCUUUCGCAAAUUCUUUGCGCCUACGGGUCCAGAUGACUCUACCCUAUGGAAGCAGAUCCCCAUAUUCAUUAGGCUAGGCCAGAUCCAAGGCGAAGGACUAGUCUGAAAUCAACCAUAUUAACCUGUGGAAUUGAGUCCUCCGGACCACUCGUCUUGACCCGUAUUUCCAUUAUUUUUCACUUUCACCUUUGGCUUUCCUUUUCAUUCAAACUAUAUUCCCUUUAGACCGCUCCGUCUUCCGCGUAGUGCUUUCUUUAUUAUCUGAAACCUUCUUUAGGCUUUCUUUUCUGACUUCACUUUCUGCCUUUUCAUACUUUUGAGUUUAUGCUUUCAUCUGACUUUCUAACUUCAAGCGAACGAGCUCUUCCAUAAGCUAGCUUCCUUUUACUUUCUGACUCGGACUCUUUCUUCUUGUUCAUUGAUAGCUUUCUCUCGUCGAGCUUCGCACCUUCUUUUUAGUCUCUUUACAAAGAAGUCCCACUAUUUAAUGUAAUAGCUAUGAGAGGCUAAAAUCAAGGCGAUCGAUGACUUUCGAAAUCUUCUUUGAGCGUCCUUCGCGGUCUUCGCAAUAUUCUUUGCGCCUCCUUUUUUAGUGGUCCUUUAGUUAGGGUAGAGUCUCAUCACCCCAUUAAUAAAGUUUGGAGUCUUAUGGAACUUGAAUAAGGAGCGCGCUGCUUUAUAGCGGCUUUUAAUGAAUCAUGACUUCUCAUCAAAUUCUUUCGAAAUCUUCUCGCAAUAUUCUUUGCGCCUUUCUCGCAACUCAUAUUGCAUUGAGCCUCGAUCAUUCUUUGAGCCUAACUACGGGGUAAGUAUUACACUACAUCAAGUCUAAUCUUUCUCACGCAAUGAUCUUUGCGACCCACUCCGCGGUCCCAUAAGACAGGUCCGAAGGCGUCACAGGUCCUCCGGACUGCGACUGAGGCGCAAUGAAAUAUGCCUUGAAUGAGAGAGAAAGAAUAUUGAACUUUUCUUCUUUUUCUGACUGGCAGCUUUCAUUCUUGAAUGAGAUCUUUCCGAAGUCAUGUCGAACUAAACUAAAAGAAUGAUCAUUCAACUUACAGUCUUCUUUCUCUUUGUCUUUGUUGUUGAAUUGGACGUUCAUUCUAUCUUUCUUUUCUAAGAGUCUCAUCUUUCCCAUUUCUAUUCUCGGAACAGAGGUAUAUUCAUCAUGUCUUUUUUGCUCCUGGUUAGGACAUCUACUUUUCACGUCUUUGACACGGGUUCGAUUCCCGUUAUACGCGAUGUGGCGAAAGGGAUGAAAGAAGAUAUGCCUUGCCUGCAUUAAGAUUUCAAACUUGUCGUCUACUUUUAGGAAAUGUUCGGAAGAGAGAACUGACAAUAAUACAACGCCGCAUUCUCCGAAACUUGAGAAACAAGAAGAGAUCUAUUAAGAGAAAGAUUUAUCCGAGAGAAAAUCUUAACAGUUACAUCCAAUCACAAACUACACGAAAGUUGCCCCUUUUUCAUGGGGAUUUACCCAUCACAGAGAUGCACAGAGGAAGAGAACGAACUUCUUAUAUCCCUUUUCCACUCAAUCCAGAAACAAGAUCGGACGUUAUUCCGGUUCGUCUCCAUUUUAGUUCAACUAUUCCUCAAGCAAGGCAGCCGAUAAGUCAUCGAAGGGUUUGUGUGAAUAAAGGAAUGGUCAAAAUUACUCAUUUUCAAGUGUCCCACGGUGAUCUAAUAUCUUUUCAAGAAAAUGAGGCGAGAAUCCGCGGUUCAGAAAUAAGGAGAUCUUUCUAUAAAGAAAUAUCAGUUGACAAAAUCAUAGGCAAAUUCCUGGAUCACCCGGUAAGAAUGUGGAGAAGAAAUAAAAGAGAAUGGUUCCACCUACUCAAAACUAAGAGGGGAUGCCGCCUACUACGAAAAUCCCGGUUUUUGCAAGAGUUGCGUUCUUCUAUGCAAGAAGAAGACUUAGAAAGAACAAAGAAGUUUGGAUCGGAAAAAGUAUGCUUAGGCAGUUCCUUCGCUGAGCACAAGAGAAUGAAGAGGAAUUUGUAUCAUUUUCAAUCCCUAUUCUUAUCGAAUAGAAGGAAGGAGAAAAACCUCAAUCUUCCUACUCGAAGAAGAAGUCCUAUAGAAAACAACUCUUCUUUCUAUAGUAAUUCGACCUAUUGCUCCGCAUCCCCCCAUCAGUUUACUAUGAAGAGCAAAAUCAAAAGUCUCUCACUACCUACUCAUUAUUCGGAGGUGAAUCAUAGAACACUAAAAGCUGUGGUAUCUUAUGGACCUAACAUAGGUCACAUCCCUCACGACAUAAGAUUGAAAGAUCCAAACCUUCCUCUUCGGAGCGGAAACGGACGUGGCCAAAACAUAUAAAGAUCGGCUCGCUCAUAGGGACAUAUCUAUCCGUCUCCAGUCUCGUCUAGAUCGAUGAAUAGAUCUCUUUCUAUCCAUAUGUAUCGCUAUCUCCGUGGAUAGAGAUAAAGAGAAAGAGAAAGCCUACCAUCUAGAUCUUGAUUCACUAUUGCCUUCUUUAGCUAAGGACAAGGAAAGAGAGUUUUUCUUCUGUUAUUACUUGCUGGAUCGGAGCGUAUACGAGCGAGUAGAGCCCAGGGAACGGGGAAGCCCGUCAUAGAGCAGUCGACUAGAAGUAUCAGACUGCUGGCCUGAGAGAUUAAAGUAAAGAAGAGUAAGGAAGUUCAUAUGGAAAAAGAAAGAAUCUCAUCUUGAGCCUGAAUUUGCAUUGACCUAGAAAGAGAGGACCUACGGUGCCAUAAGACAGGUCCGGAGUGCCAAAGAAAGGUCCAGGGUCCGGAGGAUUUAUCCGUAGGACUAUCCAUUAGAAGCAGUCCGCAGGAUUUAUCCGUAGGACUAUCCAUUAGAAGGAGGACUAUCCAUAUGGAAGUAGUCCGGAGUCCGGAGGAUUCUUAUCCGUAGGACUAUCCAUAUGGAAGUAGGACCAUCCGUAAUUAACCGAAGUAGGACCAUCCAUAUGGAAGGAAGGAGGACCCAGAGAAAGAAUUUUCUCUUUUUAUCCACCCCAUAAAUCAAGUCCAAAAUAUUAGUUCCAUUAAUCAGUCCCACUAUUUAUUUUGGGGAUCUGGACGGAUAUAAAGAAGUCAAAAGGACUCCUACGGACGGUAAUAGGUUUCAUAGUCCUCCGGACAGGUUAAUAUGUCCUUAUCAAUGAGACCAAAAAAUAGGCGAAUUUCUCUUCUUUCUUUUUUCUUUCGGGGGCCCAGAAGGCUAAAAGGUGGGGGAGAAGCAAGCCGAACCUCUGAUCGACCCCUGGAAACAUCAGAAAUUCUCGGCGUCGAGAGAGAUUUGAGAUUCCGUAAGUAACUCAGCGAGUGCUUUCUAAGCUAAGAAGGGCUUGACUUGGAAGAAGAAAAUGAAAUACGAACAACCGCGCUGGUGGUAAUAGAUCGACUUUCAUGCUAGUUCUUGCUCCAGCAUGUUUGUUCCAUUUCAGGGAAGGACGAGGUACCAUGAUACUUUCCGUUUUGUCGAGCCCAGCUUUGGUCUCUGGUUUGAUGGUUGUACGUGCUAAAAAUCCGGUACAUUCCGUUUUGUUUCCCAUCCCAGUCUUUCGCAACACUUCAGGUUUACUUCUUUUGUUAGGUCUCGACUUCUUCGCUAUGAUCUUCCCAGUAGUUCAUAUAGGAGCUAUAGCCGUUUCAUUCCUAUUCGUUGUUAUGAUGUUCCAUAUUCAAAUAGCGGAGAUUCACGAAGAAGUCUUGCGCUAUUUACCUGUGAGUGGUAUUAUUGGACUGAUCUUUUGGUGGGAAAUCUUCUUCAUUUUGGAUAAUGAAAGCAUUCCAUUACUACCAACCCAAAGAAAUACGACCUCUCUUAGAUAUACGGUUUAUGCCGGAAAGGUACGAAGUUGGACUAAUUUGGAAACAUUGGGCAAUUUACUUUAUACCUACUAUUCCGUCUGGUUUUUGCUUUCUAGUCUGAUUUUAUUAGUAGCCAUGAUUGGGGCUAUAGUACUGACUAUGCAUAGGACUACCCACUCCGCGGUGAAAAGACAGGAUGUAUUCCGACGAAAUGCUCUAGAUUUUAGGAGGACUAUAAUGAGGAGGACGACAGAACCACUCACGAUCUACUAAAGGGCAAGUAGCUUGAUUGGUUCGAAUCCAAGUCGUGAGAGUGAGGGUGAGGAAAAGGCGUAGGUUGGCCUGGCUUUGGCUUGCUCUGGUCAUUAUGGCGAUUGAUGAUCCCUGUGCAAAGAAUAAUAGUCUCCGCGAUCUUAGUUACCUUGAUUUAUUAAGAAAUAGUAUUGUAGGUGGAGCUCCAUAACGUUCUAGCCUCGAGCGUUCUCAGCGAGACAGAGUUGGGGACAGGGUAACCGACCCAGUUGGAGUGGGGGAGCAUACCUGAAAGGGAAUCUCACUUUCAUCGGAAAUAGGCAAAAGACAGAGUCCAGUAAGAUCCCUGCCCAUUUAGUUCUCUUUCCGUAACUCGACAUCGCACCUAAAAGGCAGGAAGAGUUGAUACGGCGCAGAAGAGGUGAGGUCUCAGAAGAGGCCGCUAAAGUCUCUCUUUCAAGGUCUUUCUUGAGUUCUUGAAUCGAAGAAAGGAUUAAGAGAAUCAAUGGGCGAUGAGGAGAGACCAGGAUCGCACGAGACCAACGACAAGAAUGCUCAGUGGCGCUCACAGCUAGGAAAUCUGUCCCACUCCGCGGUAGGGCCGUUGCAGCUGGUAUAGGCAUGAUCAGUAGUUCCAGUUGAUUCGCUCUUCUUGUGGCUGCUGAGUCAGAGUACGAGGGCUAGGCCCAGCCCUUGUUCAUUGAGGCGGUCAAAAGUAGAAAAGAUAUUUCACGAAAAAAAGAAGAACGAAGAUCCCUAGGCAAACUUAUUCCAUGAACUUGAUUCCGCCUUACGUCAGCAUUCAAACUCUAUUUAUUAGUAGGGUCCAGGGGACCAGGGAAGAAGUACGCAAAGAAGAAGAGGGCUGAAAGAAAUCAACGGUCGUCUUCUCGACCAAGAGGAAAAGCUGUCCCCCGUCUAAAAAAAGGCGGACUGUUUUAUGGAACAGAAACUCUCCAACUUUCUCUCUUAUGUUUUCUUUAUGGCAUAUAUUUUGGACCGCCAUAAAAGAUAGGGGAGGAAUCCCGCUCCGUCUUCCGCGUAGUGGGGUCCGGACCAAAGAAGCUCCGCGGACUUCCAUUGACUUUUUCUUCCUCUAAUAUCAAAGUCAAACUUAUAUCCUUUAAGGAAAACUAUACGACUUCCCCCCUCUCCUUACAGUCGAGUUAUUUCAUAACCUCCGGACCAAAAAAAAGCUAUUAUGUCCACUCCUCUUAUUCCUUUCAUCUUUUUCUUCCUUAAUUCGCCUCUCCCUUCAGUCGAGCCUUUAUUUCAUUAUUUUUUGAAUAAAUACGCGCGAGAUGCUAAUGAAAGAGGUCGCUCGGUUCGCCUUUAUCCUCAUCACAUCCUCUCGUUCGUAAACUCGUUCUCGACUGAAUUCCGAAACCCCUUUCUUCGAGGCAGCCUGCUUGACUUGAGUGCUGCGGAUGCUUGUUCUGCCUGUCCGACCCUUGUUUCUGAGGUUUUCAAAUUAUAGACUGACUCUAAAGGUGCGGAUUAAUAGUGGCGAGACUGGUCCUACGUCCUACGUCUGCAGUCCGCAGGAUUUAUCCGUAGUCCGGAGUCCUACGUCCGCAGGGCCAAAGAAAGGUCCAGGUGAUUUAUCCGUAGGACCAUCCAUAUGGAGGGAAGUAGUCCGGAGGAUUUAUCCGUAGGACCAUCCGUAAUUAACCGAAGUAGGACCAUCCAUAUGGAAGGAAUAAGGAGAGCUGAAAAGAAUAGAAUAAAGUAGCAAGAAAGAAAUUCUUCUUUGUGAGUUAAUGCAUUUCAUGCUUUUAUCCUUUUUUUGAUAAUUAAUUCAUUGAGAAUGAAAGAAGCUCAAAAUGAAUCUGCUAGAUUGAAGAGCUAGAUUUCAGAUGAAUCCGCGGAGGGAAAUGCUAGGUUUUGCCCAUAGGGAAGUAGCAAGAAAUCAUGAAAAAUCAGUCAUUUUUAGACAAUUAUCGUUAUUUAUCCAUAUUCGAAAAACUAUGAAAAAGAAGCAAAAAAGCCGGGAAAUAGCAAUUCAAGAAUCAUAAAGGGAUAAGAAAUUCACAUAGUUUGUUCAAACUUUGAGUUUCUGGUCCGGAGAAAGAGAGGUCUAUUCUUUAUUUCACUCCAGGUUAUGGGUUAUUCAAUCAUAAUGAUUCUUUCAUUCGAGUUAUGAAAUCAUAAUUCUUCUUUCAUUCUCGUUAAUGAGCCCGUAGUUAGGAGUAUUAAGACCGGUCCGGAGUCCGCAGGGCCAAAGAAAGGUCCAGGUGAUUUAUCCGUAGGACUAUCCAUUAGAAGUAGGACCAUCCGUAAUUAACAGAAGUAGUCCUACGUCCGCAGUCCGCAGGAUUUAUCCUACGUCCGGAGGAUUUAUCCGUAGGACCAUCCGUAAUUAACCGAAGUAGGACCAUCCAUAUGGAAGGAAGGCGUCACAGGUCCUCAGUCCUAUCCAUAUUAACCCGUCUGUCCUUCGGACCUGUCUGUCCUUCGGUCUUAAGACUCCUUCAAAUUUCAGGCAUAUAAUAUUGCGUCUUUUUUUUUGGCCUUAAAUUAAUGUAUAGGGCUUCCGAGAACAUCGAUAGUCGGACUCGUGAAUUCCACUACCCCGCUCCGUGGGCAUCGACUUUUUCAUUGAUUUUAUUCCCUUGUUCAUUGAUAGUACUCCUUUUGAGCUUUCUGACUUCUUUCUUCACUCAAAUAUCCUCUUAUGAUACUCAAACUCCCACUCCGCGGUUCAAAGAAGAUUGAAUGAAUAAAAGGCAUAGCAUAGGAAGAAUCAGAAUAAAGAAGUCAAUGAAAAGUGAAAAGAAGAAGACUGAACUCCUAACCUCUUCUUUAUGGGAGCUCCGCAAAAAAAAAGAGAGAAUGAAGAAAAUAGAACUCCUCCGUCUCUCUUCUUUAUGUACGUCCUCCCCUUGUUCAUUGAGGUCCGCUCCUUCUACGUCUUUCAAACCCACUAUUUAGUCCUUAAGGACAUAAUAUCUAAAAGAAGAAGAAGACAAGACUACGUAGCUACUUUCAUCUUCUAUAUUAUGAGGCUUACUAGUAAUGCUGAAGUUUCCAUUAGUCCUCCGCAAAUUCUUUGCUCCUUCCUCGCAAUAUUCUUUGCACCUCCCUGAUGGAUAGUCCUUCGGACCUGUCUUAUGGCGCCUUUGCCUUUUUCUUCCUUUCCUCUGAAAAUCUCAUCUGCACCCUUUAGUCCUAUAAAAAGUACAAGAAAAGCAAGCACAAUAUCCCUGUCUUAUGGAACCUUUACCGCUCCGUGGGAAUCCUUAAGUUUCUUUCACUUUCUGACCGCACUACACUAGCUCACUAGGUAUUUCAAAUGCUUUCAUCCACCUAUCAAUCAACUUAGAUAGAUUCAUUUAGCCCCUAGAAAAGUGGCCUUUUUUAUAAGGGGACUAUCCAUCAGGUCCAUAUUAGCUUUCUGCUUGGUACUUAUAACCCCAACCGUCUAAAAUACUUAGUGGGAGAAAAAUGGUAUAUGUUCUAUUGAACUUUUCAUUGACUUCUCCACUCCAAGAGUUCCCACCCUGAGAUUCAUGCUUGGCCUCGAGGCGCCCUGGGAGCUCCCGGUCUUUGCAUGGGUCAAUAACAAGGUUCAUGGGGAAAUCUAGUAAGUGGGUGAAGGAAAGGUGUCAAGGUAUCCUGCUUUCCUUGUUUCAGCGGUUGCACCCUGAGAUUCUCAUGCUCCGCCUGCGUCUCGCCCUGGGAGCGAGCACCCUACGGAGGGCUUGAGCUGGGAGUCGGAACACCGCAAACUCCAGAAUUGGCUAGGCUUUCCCACGGAGCGGUUUUGCACCUGUCUUCCCUACGGGAGCUUGUUGGGGCGGACCUCUGGGAUCCGCAAAAUGGCGGGUCACACUUAGGAGUAGGAGUAUGAAGUUGUUAAUGAUUUCUUGACCGAAAAAGGGUAGCUAAGGACUAUGUUCAUAAGAUCUGGUAAUAGUAAUUAGCUGAGAUUGUCUCAAUUCAAAGGAGGAGUAGUGCCCCACGCUAGCUCUUGCUCUAAACCUCUGAAGUCUCGUUGCAAAAGAAUGAAAUGGUGAAUUAGGGUUCAUUGUUCAUUUUGCUAAAAUGAUUGGAUGCGGGUUAAGGCAAAUCAAAUUAAUACGAGAAAUUUCUUCUUUUUUUUUCAGCAGAGAAAGGAGAAUUGAAUUUUGAUGCGUCUAAGGCCAAAGGUUUUAAUGGUAUAAAAGAUAGAAAUAAGAAAACGAACUUCAAUCGUGGAAAAUAAUCUAAAGGUCUCGACUGAGGAAGGUCCUCAGGCUCCUACGUCUAAUUCAUCUCUCAUUCUUCGUAAUUCAUAUGAGAUAAGAGAAUGCCAAGCCAAAAGAAGGUUUCAGACAGUAAGAUUUACUGGUUUUGGAAAGGUCUUUAGUGGACAAUGAUGAUUCUGCCUGGAUACUUGAUUCAGGGGCCACUAAUCACCUAUGUUCUUUUUUUCAAGGAAGUAGUUCCUGUCAAGCAAGAGCUAGUUGCUGGAGAGAUGACUCUGAAAGUUGGAAGAGGAGAACUCGGCUAUGGCAGUGGGAGACAUAAAUCUUCUCCAAAGAAGGAUAGAUUUUAUUGGAUAAUGUGUACAUAGUUCCUAAGAUUCAAAGCUCUUUUCUUUCUCUAUCUUCUUUGCUUGAAGAAGGCUACUCAAUUUCCUUUUCUCUUAAUUCAGUCUGAAUUGCAAGGUCUUGAUCUUUGUUCUGCAAAAAUGGAGAAUAACUUCUAUGUUUUGAGACCGGUGGAGGGCAAAGCAAUUUUCAAUCAUGAGAUGUUUCAAACUGCUGAGACUCAACCAGCAUUUCUCAAAGUACCUAUUUUUGGCAUUUGAGACUUGGCCACAUUAAUCUCAAUAGGAUUGAGAGAUUGGUUAAGAAUGGGCUUAACAGCAAGUUAGAAGACCUUUCUGUCCGAACAUUGAGUCUUGUCUCGAAGGUCAAAUGAGAAAACGACCUUUUACAGGAAAAGGUUAUAGAGCUAAAGAACCAUAUUCACUGGUCCUUUUUAUAGGUAUGACGGCAAAGUUGAGGAGGGUAUGAAUAUUGAUUGAAUUGAUUCUUAUUCUAGGUACGGUUAUCUAUACCUCUAGGGAAAAGUCCGAAACCCUUGAAAAGUGAAAGGAGUAUAAGGCAGAGGUUGAGAACCUAUUAGGUAAAAGGAUUAAGACACUUCGAUCUGAUCGAGGUUACGAGUAUAUGGACUUGAGAUUCCAGGACUAUUUGAUAGAAGACGGAAUUAGGUCCCAACUCUCAGCACCUAGUAGACCACAGCAGAAUGGUCUAUCGGAAAGGAGAAAGAGAACCUUGUUGGACUCCUUCAGAGCUAUGCUCAUUUGCCUAAGUCGUUUUGGGGUUAUGCAGUAGAGACAGCUCUUUCUAUUCUGAAUGUGGUUCCGAUCUUCAAGACCUUUUGAGCUCUGGAGAGGGCGUCAAGUAGUUCAUAUUGAAAGAUUAGGGGAUGUCCUGCAUAUGUGCUAGUGGCAAACCCGAAGAAAUUGGAACCUCGUUCUAAUCGAUGCCUAUUUGUAGGCUAUGAAAGGAGAGGUGGAUACUUCUUCGAUCCAGAAGAAAAGAAAUGUAUCGAGAAAUGCUACUUUCUUAGAAGAAGACCACGUUAAAGAUCAUAAACCACGAAGUUGUCUUAAGUUCAUUUUCUGGUUCAGCUAGAGAUAGAUCAAGAAGAGUUGUUGAUGAUUCUUGUCCUAAAACAAGAGUUGUUGACGGCUCCUAAAUAAAGAAUGUCAUCUUGACCUUUCUUUUUGCUAAAGUAGGUUUCAGGUUUCGGAAGAAAAAGUUCAAGGUGCAAAGAUCUAUGGCCCACUACGCGGUGCAAUAAGACAGGUCCGGAGGACCCCUUUGAUAACGAUAAAAGAUGAAAAUGAAAAAUGGCUUUGCUUUCGUAUUUAUUUUCUCUUUGGAAGGAGCGGAGCAUAAGAAGGGGAGGACUUUGAUGGAAUAUCUUCCUUUCCUGACUGAACUUUCUCCUAGGAAAGAGACCGGCAAAGAGAGGUUUCCCCUGAAAGAGAAAGGAGAACUAUAUCCCAAUCUCAAAGAUGCUCGCCCGACUCAGAUAAAGGCUAGGUUUGAGACCGAUCUACAUCUGUCUUAGUUGCCUAAGACGAAAGAAAUAGGGUAGUGCUGCUUGGGACUACAGAAAUGGUUGAAAUUGAUCUCCUGGGCAAUAUUCUUUGCACCUUUCCUGCAUUUUUAUGAAACUGAGGCCUCGUGAACUGGCCUGUCCGUCUUUCUCUCGCUGGAGCAAAGAAGACGGGUUUCCUUCUUGAGUUUUUUGAUGGUUUUUCCGCAGUGUGCCGCAGAAAGAAAGAAAGAAUUCCUUCAGCAGGCUCUUUUCGUAUUCCGGCCCCGAGUCAGAAUAAGGAUAGGCAUGGUCCCAUUUCCCAGUGAAUAAGUAAAUGAGACAUUCUACCGCUUCAAACUGGAAAGUUUCUAGGGAUUUCUCCCAUGCAAAUCUACUUUAAUAGGGAUCUCCUCGAUCGGAGAAAGGCUGUUGAGGGGAAUGGAGUAGCAGAGGAGGUAGCCUGGUCGAUCUUUUAGCCUCACUCACCUUAAUUUAAGGUGGAGUGGUUCAUUGACCUUCAAACAAAGCAGGUUAAGGGGUUUUGUCCUCCCAAAGAAUUUCUUCUACCCCGAUCAUUCUUUCUCAAUAUUCUUUGCGCCUUUCUUUUUCAAAUAAAGCUAAUAUGAAUAGUCCUACAAUAUCCCGCAUAUUUCAUUGGGCCUCAGUAGCUUAAUAUGGGAAUUUAUAGGCGCUUCGAAUAUGAAUUCAUCCUAGCAAAAAGAAAGAAUGUCUUUCUGACUCUACCCGUGCAAAGAAUAUUGCGAAAGCAGAUCCCCAAGAUCUCCUUAAAUAAAGAGAGACUGGGCGAACCCCCUAUUAUGAGAGGAAUCGGAUGCGACCGAGUAUCGAAGUCGCUCUUGAGUAAGAAUCUCUUGCCCUUGUUCAUUGAGGCGGGUCCGGAGCUAUCUUCUUUCAGUUUCAGUUGCAUCCUUCUUUCUUCUUUCAUUCUCUUUAGCAUGAGAUCUUUCCCCUCUCCUCUGUAGAGGAUCGAAAGAAGCGGCUUUACCGAGAGAUAGGAUUGGCAGCCCUCUUCUUUCUCUCUUUCAUAGGGUGGAGGAUGGAAUCGACUCGGAAGGAUGUAAUUCAAGGAGAGGCGAGAGAGAGGCCCCACCCCGGCCGCUAUCCUGCUGAUUUCUUCUUGAGUAUGCGUCAUCGAUCGGUCUAUGGAAAGAAAGGCAUAUUUCUUCAUUUUAUGACUUUUCCCAAUGGGAGUCCAUUUGCACAUCAUAAAGUGCGGGUCCACUAAGCCGCUGGGAUCAGAAGAAGGAGCUUAAUAUGUAUGGAGUUGAACAGUCCCCAUUAUCUCGUAUAUUCAGAACUCCCGAGUACCAGGUUCAAUGUAGUAUCGGCCGAAGAGUCCCCACUACGCGGGUCGGUCGGGGAGAGGGGCGAAGAGACUCGACCGUAGGGAGAGGUUCUCAGACGCAAAGAGGGAUGUUUCGGAAGUUUCAGAAGAUCAGCACCUCUCAAAUACUUUGACCCUGACUCGCUACGCAAAUAAUAUGGUUUAUUGUAGGCACCUCGCUCGAGCUAGCAGCGUACUUCUUUUUCCGAUUCCUCAUUCAAGUGAGAAUGCUAACUUCUGAUCCUUCUUUUAUUUAAUCUAUAAAGAAUCAAAGACAGAAAGAAGGAGUUGUCCUUGUUGUUCUCUUCUUUGAAAUCUUUGCUUGAAUUCUGAAAGAAUGGUUGGUUGGUGACCGCUUCGACAGACAGAUGGAAAGCUUGACUUGAUGACAGACACUCCGAUCUGCUCUACCCCUUUUUUCCCUUCUUUCUUUCGAUAUUGGCGUAUAAAAGCCUAUAAUUGGAUUCGUCCAGUUCAACUGGGAAUACCGCUUGAUGUGAGAGAGCGAGAGCCACAGAAAGAGCUUCUGGAACAGCAAGAUCUUCAGCCGAUGACGCGGACUCAGCAGGUGGGACUGAUUCCUAUGAAACUGAGAAUGCUAACUUCUGAUGAUUCAAUGGAAGAAGGAGCUCUCUCCGCAGCACCCAACUCUUCUGAAAGAGGGAAUUCCCUUGUUGUUCGGGAUGUGACCUGUCGACCUCUUCUCUUUCUUUUUCUUCCUCUGAAACUUAUCCCCGGACCAAGUCUGACUCCGCUUAAGGCCCCGAUCCUCUUUCUCAUCAAAUCCCCCGUCCUGGAAAAGCCGUUCAAAGAGGAGAACAUAACCUAACAAAAGCUACUGAAGAAAGAGGUAAAGGUGAAAAGGAUCAAAGUAUUUGAGCUUUGCGCCUAUCCUCAACGUCUAUAAACUUAUGCAGCAAAAAGAAAAGCAAGGGCUGCAUAGUCUACUACUUGAGUUGCACCAGCAACUUAGACAACCGAUGCCGAUACAGCUCAAUCUGGUCUAGCGCCGACCUACCCUACUUUAGAGAGUUUUUCCGAACCGAACUGAAAGAGGGACCCAGGGACGCAAGCCGCAGAAUCAUCAGGCUUUCCUGUGCAGGUUUGAAUCACUAUUUUGGAGUGUUCUACGAACUAAACAAAAUGGGAUCCCACUCCGCGGUAGAGGCUCAAAGUAUUAUCUCAGAUUUCCGCUUGAUUUUACAUCUCAGGGAAUGAAGGUGAGACCUGAUGUUCUUGCAUCCCUGGAUAAGAAGUGGCUCCUCUUUCUUCCUCUUUCCCUUACACAGCAAGGUUCAAAGCCGUCCGGAGGACCAUCAAAGAAAGGUCCAGGGUCCGGAGUCCGGAGUCCGCAGGAUUUAUCCUACGUCCGGAGGAUUUAUCCGUAGGACCAUCCAUAUGGAGGGAAGUAGGACUAUCCAUAUGGAAGUAGUCCGGAGGAUUUAUCCGUAGGACCAUCCGUAAUUAACCGAAGUAGGACUAUCCAUUAUCCGGAGGACCACUAUUUACGAAAAUAUGAUGAAUAGUCCAGAGGUGCAAAGAAUAUUGCGUGAAAGCAGAAUAUUGAUAUUGCCUGAAACCUAAUUUGAGCAUAUUGCCUUCCACUUAAAAAAAGGUAAGCCCACGGAGCGGCGCAAAGAAUAUUGCUCAAAGCUUUUCAUAUUGCUCAGAUUUUCGGUUCAUCUUUCUCAAUCUUCUUUGAGCCUUCGCCUAAGAGCGCAAACCAAAGGCAAAGGACGGGUCGAGAACGAGAAGUAGGGCAUCAGUGGUAUUAGAAGCAGCAGUCGCAGUUCUUCUUCUUUUGAAAAAGGAGAAGUUCUUCGAUCAGCUCUUGAAUGAGAAAUAAGGCAAAUAGCCUAACCCACUAAAAUCAAACUCAAUUGAAUCGAGGUCAAAGCCUUCUAAUAAGACUCCUCAGAUAAUCAGCCUACGGCUGGGUAGAAAGACGGCUAUAAUCCCAGUACAAAGAGAAAAAAGCCAAUUCGCGAAUAAGGCCUUUGUCAUGAAUAUGGAUAGUCAGCUGGUCCGAAGGACUGACCGCAGAGGGUUUUUGCUUCUUUCGAAAUCUUCUUUCUUUCUCAAAUAUGAUUCAAUCAAUAGCUAAGGAUAUUCUUUCUUCCCGCUACGUGGGCUUGUCGCAAAGUUCUUUAUAGAAGGCGCAAAGAAUAUUGCGAAGACUUCGGACCAAAAAAGACUUCUGCAGACGAAGGAGUCAGUUGAGUUAACUAGAAAUCUCCUUUCUUUAAAGACAGGGAUAUUGUUGAGAAGACUCCAAAAUGCAGUAAGGUGGAAUAAAGAUGCUACGAAGGCUGAAUGAAUAUGAGAAAGAAUAUUGACAAUGAAUUCAUGGAUGACUUUUUGUAGUUCUCAUUUUCUUAACACAUUUCAUUCUAAGAUUCGGAAAGUGGUCACAGUAAUCAAUGAACAAGGGCAGUGGUUUUCUUGUAUCAUAUUCAAGUCAAAAACAAAAGCUCAUCUGAAACCUGCAAAGAAUAUUGCUCAUUUGAGAUCAGGUCCAUAUUAACCUGUGGUGAACCCCACUACGCGGUAAAAAAAAGAGCAAGUGGCGCGGCUUAGUUUCCCCCGAAAGGAAGACGGAGCGCUUCGAUCCGAUGCGCAUGCAUGGGGUUUUUCCCUGAACUCUGCUCUCCGUCUAGUUCAUCCAUUUCUUUAUCCGAGUUCAUCAACAAUAUAUAUAAUAUGAGAAAGAAGAGCUUCUUUCACUUCAAGAACGACUGCCGCCAAGGCGUACAGCCUCUGGUCGAAGAGAGUGGGGCUCGAACCCUCAACUGCAUUCUCCCCUAAACAACCCCUGUCCCACUCCGCGGUCGUCAAACUUAUCAGAUAGACAUUCUUUCUUUUUGCUUUUUGUUAGGCGCAAAGAUCUAUGGAAAGCUCCUCUUGAGUCUGAUUCCAAUAAUAUCCGUCAUGAUUCCGCUAAAAGUCUUGUCAAUAUUCUUUGAACCUCGCAAUAUUCUUUGCGCCUCACGCAAACUCAAAUUUCAUUCAGCCUUACCCUUAUUUUUCCUUACAGUCGAGCCUUCUCAAAUUCCCUAAUGGAUAGUCAUCUGGACCCCUUAUAAUUGGGCUUUGCGCCUCGCAAUAUUCUUUGCGCCUUCUACGCGGUCAGUAUUUAUAUAUAACAAUAAGAGAUAGCAUCCGUACUCUUGGUCUUCUUUCUUCUCUCUUCUUAGAAGUGAGAGAGCAAGUCAAUUCUGACCUUCCUUCUCCUUCAACCGCCUCCUUCGCACCUCGUCGGGCGAGCAUGGGAUUGGGAUAUAGUUCUCCUUUCUCUUUCAGGGGAUGGGGAUCCUCUCCGCUCUCUUUCCUAUUUCAAGAGAUCUUACCGCUACGUGGGCCUGAUGAAUAGAAUGAAAUACCUUUUCAAGGAAAUCUUUCAGUCUCUGAGGAUCAAAGCAAUUUCCCCGGGUUUAUUUCAGUUUGCACGCUUGGACUUGCGCUCCUUCGCUUCGCGCCUUGCCACCUCGCAUUCCUUUUGGGGUUUUUGGAGUUGAGAGAGUCAAUCUCUUUUCUUCUCACAAAGGGGGAUAAAGAAAUGUUCAGGCUCAAUACGAUCUCUUACCGAUCGAUCUACUAAGAAGGCUAGAAGAAGAAGGGAUGCCGCAUCCGAGAGCACGAAUCUGCAACCGCUACUUUAUGAUUUACUCGACUAUUACAAAACCCACUCCGCGGGCCAAGACUGAGGAGGGCGAGAACUGCGACCGGAACUGCCAAGGAGGAUUUCUUUCGGUGAGCUUACUCAGCGCUCUGCCUCCGCUUCAAGAAGAAAGAGGUACGGAUUCUUCCCUUCUUCUCUUUCGACGAAAGAGAUGAUUGGGAAAGAGAAUGGGGUGGCAGACGUCAAGGACAGGAUGAAUCUCCAUUUUCCAUGACUAAAAUCCCACUUUGCGAGUUCAAAUGUGAAAUUUCUUUUCGCCAUAGUAAUCUGAAUAGGAUUUCCUCAUCAAAGAAAAGAUAGGAUAAGAUAUAAUAAGAUAUAAGUAGUGCAUGCGUCAAUAUUCUUUUCACCUUGCUCUUCUUCUUCUUUCUGAGACUUUUCUCCUUUCUUCUCUUUAUCUUUACUUCUCUUUCCCCUAUGACUUUUCUUCAUUGAUCUCUUUCUUUCUCUUUCAGUCUUCUUUCUUUACCCUGUGACGUGGAUGGAUCCCUAGCGGAUCUACCCGAGCGCUUUCUCUGAGAUCCGAUCUCAGAACGUCAGCCUCAGCCACUUCCGCCUCUUGAUUAAAGGACGAGUUUGUCUUCCUUGUCGCCGUCAUCUCUUCCCUCUCCUUCGUAAACUCAGUCUCGUCAAUAUUCUUUGAACCUCUGACCUCCGAUCCCGCGGAUCUGCCUUCUUCCUUUGAAAGUGAUCCUGAUUAUCAUUCCCGGCUAGUCCUACUCACAGAAAGAAAGAGUACUGAUGGAGAUGGAAGAAGAGCUAAGCCACUAACUCAGACCCAGCUGAGGCUGCCGAAACUGAGACUUCUGCCGAUCCCCUAGGUAAAGCAGCUCUCUCCGGAACUCCAAGAACUGCUCUUGCUUCGGAAAGAGAGAAUGAAAGAGAUCUAGCUAGAGCAAGGGUUCCUGGUUCAGGGGACCCAACUCAAGAAGAUGAAUGAAACUCGGGCCGGUGUAGCAGCUUUCUUUGAACCUAUUCUUUCUCCUUCUCAUGCUAACCCUUAUUCAUAAAGAUACUUCCUUCCCCGUCCUCAGUCCUAUCCAUAUUAACCCGUCUGUCCGGAGGACAGGUCCGAAGGCGAGAAAACAGGGAUAUUGAUGAUUUGAGUGAAAUCAAAAUCAAAGAAUUGUCUUUUCGCUUUCUUUUCUUUACUUUCUUAUCGUUAAUGAGUGGAAGUAUAGGUCUGACUAUUUCUUUGAUCUGGAGCUUGAUUUUUCCAGUCGCAAAAUAAUUGAACCGAAGGCUCAAAGAAUUUGAGGAGCAUAUUUCAUUGCGCCGGAGGACCACGGAGCGGCGCAAAGAUCUAUGGCCGGGUCCAGAUGACUAUCCAUUAGGGAGAUCGGAGUAGGUGCAAAGAAUAUUGCGACUUUGUGCAUCUUUGCGUUAAUGAGCUCAUUUUCUUUGAUUUACGUAAAGGCUUCGCGCCUUAUUUAUUCAAGUGGAAUUAAUCAGUCCGAAAAUCAAUGAACUUUGCGAGUUCUAUAGCUAAAAUCAAGGCGGUCGAUUCAAAAGGUGAUAAAGAAGUCCUUCGCUUUUUGAUUCGAAGCGUGGAGAUAGUCAUCUUUGUUCUAGUCUUUCUUAAUGAGGGGAAAAAUGGGGUCGAGGACUUUCUCUUGAUGACUUUUAGUAGGUUAACGGUGGAUUAUUCCCAGAAAAAUACCGGUACUGAAAAUCAGUCAAAUCACUUUCCUAGGAAAAGUCACCACCCGCCUAUGGAGCUGGUUCGGAUUGGGAAGGGGCACCGAUCCUCCCUUCUCAGUCUUAGGAUUUGAGGUUAGUCUUUGAAAUGACUUCUAACCAAGGGCUUUCCUUUCUUGGACCUGGAUAUUCCAUUCUUCCUUCUUUUUUCAGCCUUUCCCUUCCCGUUGAGAUCCGGAACUUCAGGAUCCAGUAUAAAAAAUCAGUCUUGGAAAAUGAGAAAAAAUCAAGGUAAAUAGAGUUCAGAGGCUUGAAAAGAGAUCUCCGAUCGGACAACUGCUAUCGAGGUCUAGCCGCCCGCGAAAGGGAUCUGAUCAAAAUGAAAUCUGAACAUGGCUUUAGCCCAUUUGGGGCUAUUCAGGCUUCACCCCGCGACAGGUCUCCUCCCACGUAGCGGUAGUUUCCCCAUGGUUUGAUGAUUUCUUCUCAACUCAGUGAAAUCACUUUUCUAUCUUCCGAGGUGAAAUCCUACUUUUUUCAGCGGUUCUUAGCCAGUAAAGAGAGGAUAUGCUUUUCACAUUAAGAUCCAUACUUAUGACUCUUCCCGGUUCCGAAAGUCCAUAUGAGAAACCCCUAGAUUUCAAGAAAACCCUAAGUCUAGACUGAGAAUGACCUUUCGUCCUCCCCACCCUUACCUAUUCGGAAAGAGAUCCUACUCUUAUUCCCUUCCAAAGGCCGACGGAGCGGUUUGCGUAGCGGGAAGAGCGGACUUCAACCUUCCCCUGCCUCUUCCUCGUAUUCUCAGCCUCUCUCAAAAUCAAGAAUGUCCUUCUGAAAAACAAAGCGGAACUCAAAUUUCAGGCAAAGAAUAUUGCGUUGGAACUUUUCUGACUCAAUGAGACCACUAAUAGACAGAGGAGAGGUUUUAGCAUUCUCGGAACAAAAGUGCCCGUUGUCAUUUGCGUAAGACAAAGAUUCUUUCAGUCUGAGUAGUUUCACGAGUAAGCAAAAACAAGGGUGCAGAUGAGCUCGACCUAGAGGGAGAGGGAUGAAGUAUCUCCACUCCACCAGUGGGGAAAAUCAGUCAAAUCAGUACUCCCACGUAGCGGUCACAAGACGGACGCUUUUCAAGCUCUUUCAUAGGCUAGACUGGAAAGAAGAUGUGCCAUUUGAAUCCGAAUACAUUAGCUGCUGAGUCAGAGUACGAGGGCUAGGCCCAGGCAAAGGCGAGACCAGUAGCAGCUCUUUCUUCAGUUUCAGUUGUUGUCGUUGAGUCAAGCUAUUUAUUCUCUCAAAAUGUAGAUUUAGAAGCUGCCCAUAAAUUUACCUGAAACCCUAUCUCUUCCUUCGACUUCUACUGAAUUUCGACUUCUACUUUCUGAAAGUGAAUCCCCUCCACAAAGGUACCGCCCGGAAGUUGCUCCAUUUCAAUCUACUAAGAUCCCAGAUGCAAAGACGGUUCUUUCCUUAAUAGGUGUCGGAAGCUGUCUUCCGGAUUGACCAGAUUUCAUAGGCUUUCUGAACGAGUGGGAGGGCGAGACUGGUCCGGAGGACUUGUGAAUAAAGGGUUCAAAGAAUAUUUCAGAUCUUUCAUGAGAUCUUUCUCUUGUUCGCUCGGUAAGCUUAGAGCUAAAUACAGGCUUUUCUCUGAUUAUUGUAAUGUCAAGUCUUUUCCUGAAUAGAAUAUGGAGAAAGAGCUUUUUUAAGCAGAAGCUCGACAACAGGGCUGGGGAAUCAGAAUGAGAACUGAGAAGGGCUCAACCGCCUAUCUCUUCCUUCUUAAGCCUGACGCCUCUUUGUCUUUUUAAGCUUGUCUUUCUUCAUGUCGCAAUAUUCUUUGCACCUCUCCUAAUGGAUAGUCCUUCGGACGGAGGCUCUUUGAAUUUGAGGAGCAUUUAUCUAAGAAAAGAAGAAAGGCUCCAUGCAAUAUGAGUUUGAUAUCCAUAUUAACUUUUCUUUGAGCCUUCUUUAUUGAUGGAAGUUCUUGAAGGAAUGCUUCUGAUAUUCUUUUCUUCUUUCUUUUCUAUUAUGAUCAAGGAGAGGUUAAGUGGAUAGUCAGUAGGAUUCAAGCCAUAGCACAACCCAGUCCGGGUAUACAAGUUCUCAAGAGGAAGGAGGGAUCCCACCAUAAGUAACUCGACAGGGAAAGAGACCCAAGCAAAGUCAGUCGACAAAGAGGUACAAAUCGACCAGGACGCUCGACCCAAGGAUGUGAACUUAUUUAUUCAAUUCAUUCAUUUUCGGCUGACAGGAAUAUGAAUUUGGUAGAUUUCUUGAAGCAUGCUGUGUUCACGCCUUUGGCUGAAAUUUCUCUCUUGAUAUCGCACCUUUCUCCUGGCUUAGUUGCGCCAAACCAUUGGAUUUGACCUUCAAUCAAGGUUAUUUGAGGUUAGCCACCUAUGGCGAAAAGUCAACCUUAAUAAAAGAGAAGAACCUACUUCAAAGUUCAGUCAGAAAAGACUACUGAUCCAAAUGAAAUUCCUCCUAAAGAAAUAGGAUGAAUAGUCCAGAGGCGCAAAGAAUAUUGCGAGGAGCAAAGAUCUAUGGCCCCCAAUUAUAAGGGGUCCAGAUGACUAUUAGGGAAUGAUCGGCGUAGGUGCAAAGAAUAUUGCGAGAAAGAAGAAGGAGUGAAAGGAGAGGCGCAAUGAAAUAUGCCUUGAAUGAAAGGAGAGGCGCCAUAAGACAGGUCCUCCUUCCUUCCAUAUGGAUGGUCCUACUUCCAUAUGGAUAGUCCUACGGAUAAGAAUCCUCCGGACUGCGGACUGCGGACUCCGGACUUCUUCCCUCCAUAUGGAUGGUCCUACUUCCUUCCAUAUGGAUGGUCCUACUUCCUUCCAUAUGGAUGGUCCUACUUCGGUUAAUUACGGAUGGUCCUACUUCCAUAUGGAUAGUCCUACGGAUAAGAAUCCUCCGGACUCCGGACUACUUCCCUCCAUAUGGAUGGUCCUACGGAUAAAUCACCUGGACCUUUCUUUGGCCCUGCGGACGUAGGACUCCGGACUACUUCGGUUAAUUACGGAUGGUCCUACGGAUAAAUCACCUGGACCUUUCUUUGGCCCUGCGGACGUAGGACUCCGGACUUCUUCUUUAAAAAGAAGGGUCCAGGUUUCAUAAGACUCCUUCGGAGCGGUCUUCGCAAUAUUCUUUGCACCGCACCGUGGGGGAGGCUCAAUGCAAUUUGAGUUGCGAAAAGGCUAGGUUUUUUCUCAUACCGGUCUCAGAUAAGGGCAUUCUAAGUAGUAAUAAUUGAUCAAAGGCUUGAAAGAGCUUGCCAAGAAAGGAUUGGAUCAGAUCAGCCUGGAGUUGGGCCUGAGCAUAUCCGCAAAUCUUUCACCCUUCGCGAAGCGCCUGCGCUUAGUAGAUAGAAUGACCGUAGAUGUGUCCGCUAAAGAUGAUCCUGGAGUGAAGGGUGGUAGAAUGAGCCUUCAGGACCCAAUGUGCUUAUCCACUCGCCUUAGAACAGCGGGCCUAGGCUCCCACGGGGCGGUAGCAUCUCGAGUGAAAGGCAGCAGCCGUCAUGGCCGCCGAGCUAAACGCAUGAUAGUGAUGCUAGCCGGUCACGCCCUACUUUAUCCAUAGCACUUGGAACUGUGAUACCUCCUUCGGUUCUUGCUUACCCCACCGGUGGCCUCUUAUAGAAGACAUAGAAAGCCUCCUGACGCCAGUCGAAGUAUAGACGAAGGAGACAGAGAAUAGAUUAGUAGCUAAAGCGGAGUUGACGCAAAUGAGCUUCCAAAGUCUCCAUCAGCCUAGCAUACCAGGGAACCCUUGCUGCGAGACUGCCAAAGCAUCUAAUUCCGAAUCUCCUUUGAAUGUGAAAAUGGUUCAUAGUCGGACGUAGAAGGAGCGGAGCCAAGUUCGAACUAAUAGGCGUAGUAGGCUUUCUUUAGUGGGCUCCCUCCGCCAUAAUCAAAGAUAAGGAGGACUUCCAUUGACCUUUUCUUCCGUCCGGAUUGCUCGAAGUGCUUUCCCCGCGUAGUGGGAUUCUUUGAGCCUCUUAUGACUUUCUUUCUUCAUUUCAUCUCUAAGCUUUCUCUUGUUGGAUAGGCUUUCUUCAGUACUUUUUAGAUUUGGCCUUGUUCACGCAAUAUUCUUUGCACCUCUCCUCGCCUAUUUAAUAGAAUGAAUGACUUGCACUCAAAUUCCCUAAUGGAUAGUCCUUCUUCGCAAAUUCUUUGCGCCUCCUCAAAGAAAAGCUCUAGAUGAGGCGGAAUGAAAUAUGCGUAGAAUGAAUGAAUCUACCCUUUACCACUACUUAGGAGCAGCUUAAUAUGUGAGCGGGAAGGAAGAUCAUAUUAUAAGAUUAUGCCUGGAGUCCGGAAGACGGAAAGGAAUUUCAUGAAUGAUCGAGGUUCAAAGAACAAAAAGAAGGCGCAAAGAAUAUUGCUCAGAGAUCCCCCGAGUAAACUAAGCUGGUGGUCGGUCUGGUACGGUGCUUUCUUGAAAUCUUCUUUGAACUCAUUGUGAUAUUGAAUUGAAGGUCGAGCAAAAUCUCAAAUUCUUUCUGCAACUCAUAUUGCAUUGAGCCUUUGUUUUUUCCUUACUUACGGAAAAGCGUAUUCACACCUCUCCUUAACAUUUGUUAGUGGUCCUUUUUCUUUAUCAAGCUUUUCCUGUGGAUAAAAGAGGUCCGGAGGACUGGUCUCGCCUAUUUCAACAGCACCUAUCUAUAGAGCCCUAAACACGGAUGAGUUCUUAUGCUGCCGAUAGUACUUAGUCAGAAGUCAAGAGGAGAGCUCCUUUAUAUCUAUAUCGCUCCUAUCCAGUCGUAUGAAUACCUUCUCCCGAUCCUGAGAAUGAAAGGACGACGGAUGGAGAUUUCAGUUACCUUGAUGUAGACCCUAUUCUUCAGCCGCCCCUACGAUUGAUUCUGUCUCUUCCCUUGCUUAUUACCUUUAUUUAUUACUGUUCCCCGAACCGAAUAGCUGCUUGGUCGACUUGGGCUAGCGGCGUAGAUCCCAUUCUAAGAAAGAAUAAGAAAGUGGAUAUGUGCAAAGGGCUAGCUUUCCAACUAAGUCUUCCCUUUAUUUUGUAUCCAGCGCCUCUAUAAGUCUCGCUCAAUUCCAUCGACCCUCUCCGGCAACCGCUCCAACUCCUACUACUGAAGGUCAAUCAAUCGGGUGAGGCCUUCAAAGCUUCAACUCCUACUACGGACUUCGCUCCGCUAAAAAUAGUGGUUGAUCUGAACAAGACAAAGAAAAGAGUGAAGUUAUGAACUUCCGAGCUGCUAAGAAGAGUGAUAGCGCUUGAGCUUGAUGCUCGUUCAGCCAGAAAAUGGGAUUGGGAUAAAAAAAGAGAUAAUGAAUAAUACUUCUCAUAAUGCAAGAAAGGUCUUGAAUUCCCCGAUUCCGCUCCGUCAAUCCCAAUUAUCAAGUAAGAAAAGAAGUGUCAGAAUAGAGUUCUUCUUUCAUUUCUUAUUUCUUUGUUAUCAAAUAGAGUUCAUAGUUCGCGCUUGACUCAUCAUACUCAAGGAUGCUUUUCGUACUCAGACUCUGGAUGUCUUACCUUCGCACCUUUCUUUAUGAGUCUUCCGAACUUCUUAUUUGAGAAUGGCGGUAUGAGUGCUGUGCUUCGGAAUCGCGAUGUAGCUAUCGGCAACUUCUGAAGGUAGAUCGUCGCCGGGAUCAUCUCCAAUCUGGGCCUCCCCUCUCUUUUAUUGAAAAUGGGAAGUAAGAAAUCGCCUAGUGCUGGAUCGAACCUUUAGAGUCAGCUGGUCCGAAGGCUAGGCGCAAAGUUCGGUUAAUUACGGAAAGUCCUCCGGACUACUUCGGUUAAUUACGGAUAGUCCUCCUUCCUUCCAUAUGGAUGGUCCUACUUCGGUUAAUUACGGAUGGUCCUACGGAUAAAUCCUCCGGACUACUUCCUUCCAUAUGGAUGGUCCUACGGAUAAAUCACCUGGACCUUUCUUUGGCCCUGCGGACGUAGGACUCCGGACUACUUCGGUUAAUUACGGAUGGUCCUACUUCCAUAUGGAUAGUCCUACGGAUAAGAAUCCUCCGGACUCCGGACGUAGGAUAAAUCCUGCGGACUGCUUCUAAUGGAUAGUCCUACUUCGGUUAAUUACGGAUGGUCCUACGGAUAAAUCCUCCGGACUCCGGAUAAGAAUCCUGCGGACUCCGGACCCUGGACCUUUCUUUGGCACGUAGGACCCUGGACCUUUCUUUGAUGGACAGGUGACGGGGAAUUGGAGGCGCAAUGAAAUAUGCGUGGAGUGCAAGUCAUUCAUUCUAUUAAAGACUUCUGCAGACGUUAGGCUCCAUAAGACAGGUCCGAAGGACUAUCCAUAUUAACCCAGAGUCAUGAUCCCUUUCAUGCAGCCGCUUAAAAAAGCGCUUUUGGGUCAAAGAUUCUUAAUCAAUUGAUUAGACCACUUUUCUGGAGGGACCCUCCCUUAUCAAAAUUGAAUAUAGUCUCAGAUACUCAUCUAGAGCUUUCUUUUUGCUUUAAAUUCAGAGUCGGAGGCCUCACUUUUCUAAGAUCGAUAUUACCAGGUCUCUCUUCGAAUCAUUUUGAUGACCACUGAUAGAUGGUCUCAUUAUUUUCGUGGAAGAUGUACCGUGUGUAUUUUGCCCACCCCUUGGGAGCACCGAUGUCCGUACGCUUUACUUUAAUGCACAGUAUAAUUCAUUCCAAUGAUGUCGGACAAGAAAAGAAGGCAAAGAAAUCUUCUUGGCAUAGAGAGUUUUAUCACCGCUCUGUGCCAUGAGCUUCGCACACCACGGCGGAGUUGGGAUAGACUUCCAUCUUGGGACAAAGUAAAUUCCUUGUUCCAGAGUGAGGAUGCCCCACGUAGCGGUACAUACCGCUCUAUCAAGCGUGCGAAUCAUUGCUUUUAACCAAAGAAUGAGACACAAAGGCACGGAUUCUUUCUUAGAUAGAGGGUCGGACGAGACUGUCGAAGGUGUCCUUGCUCACAGCGUAAGCUGACUGAAAACCGAGAACAAAGACAGAGGGAUCACGGCCGGAUCCUUCACUCUAAUCCCUUUCCGAUUCAAACUUGGCUAAAAUCAAGGUGCAAAGAUCUAUGGCCCACUACGCGGGAUAUUGUAAGACUCGUCCUACGCAGGAAAAGUGGAUUUUCUAGACAGGUCCGAAGGCUAGGUUAAUAUGGAUAGUCCGGAGGACUCUUAGCUUGAUUUUUCUUGCUGCUUUAUAUAAAGAAAAGUGCAAAAUGACUACUAAUCAAAGAUGUGAAAAUCAACCCCUAAUUUGCAGCAUUAUUACUUAAGAAGGGAGGACUCAAAAGUGACUAAACUGGCAUUCCAACUCCAACUUACUUAAAGGAAAUGGAAGAAAGAGAGAAAGUGGAAGGCAAUAUUCUUUGCGCCUCCGGACGGAUCAGAAUGCUCUUGCUCGACAAGAUCCUAAGCUAGGGAAUGAAGUUGAUAGACGCCCACGGAGCGGAAAAGGAAGAGGAAUUCACUCUUAGAAAGAGGAACCCCAUCGAUCGGGGCAGGGAAUAAGGAAGCCGCUCUUUGCUACCUUUAUUCGGAUAGGACGAGACCAAAGGAAGAGUCAUCUGUCUCGGAUCCAGAGUCAUAGGGGAAAGGCUCGACCUUGAAUUGCGGAAGAAGUUCAGUCCUUAUUAAGCUGGUCCUACGUAGAAAAAUAUGGGAUCAUGACUUAUAUUAUUGGAAUAAGACGAGAGGCAAUAUGGGCAAUAUUCUUUGCGCCUUCGGCUCAUCAAAAACAAGGUUGAAGAUGAGCUUUGAUUUUGAAAGUGGCCUUUUUUAUAUUAUAAGAGGACUAUCCAUAUUCACGACGGAGCAGCUUAAUAUGUGAGCGGUAUUCAGUCUUAGUAGAAGUGGAAAGAAGAAGGUCAUAUAUCUUGAAUGAGAAAAGAUUCCCCAUUCUCUCGUAUAUGAAGAACUCCCUAAAUGCUUGCCCAGGGCAAGGUGAAAAGAAUAUUGAGCCGGUGCGGUAUGAGAUCUUGAAUUCCAUGAUAAGGCAAAUGGCUGAGAACUCUAUUAACCUGAGAUGUCCCACUCUGAAAGAAAGGGAAAUUCGCUUUCCUCAAAUUGAAUUGAGCCUUCUAUAAAUCACUUUGCUCCUACUAUAUAGCUCCGGACGACUAUGAAGAAUAUUUGAAAAAGAAAGAUCUCCACUCGACUCUCUUCUCCUAGCCCGCGGAUACUUCAACUUCAACUUCUCAUUCCGAUACCAUAGCUCGAGCAGCGUUUCGGUAACCGCCGAGACUACUUCUGCUUUAUUAUAGAGAUCCGAUCGGAGACAGAUUCCUAUGAAAAUGAGUGAUAGCUUGCUUUGCUUUCUCUUGCCUUGUUCAUUGAUUUCUCUCGACUGACGAAUCUAGUCUCCCUGCUUUUAUAUUUGAGCACUUGCACUCGCAAUAUUCUUUGCGCCUCAUCAUAAAUACGAAAGAGAGAAUCUAAUCUCAUAAGAUAGAAAUAGUUUCGAAAGCUCCUCAACUCAUAUUACAUUGAGCCUUGUUCAUUGAUUCAAUCAAUAGUCGAAUAAACCAUAAAGAAACUGCUCAAGUGCGAAAGUAAUAAUCAGAUAUUCAAAAGACUAAUAAAUAGUGCUUUCUCUUAUUUAAGUCGUGCGAAAGAAAUAAUCAGAGAAGAUAGAGUGAAGCCGAGUCCUCUUCUUCUUGUCUUAAAUAAGUUGACUCAAGAGCUCCUCAUUUGUUCUCAAAUAAUGAGCUAAAGAUGAACCGAAAAUCUUCUUUGAGCCUUGUUCAUUGACUUUCUUCAUUGAUUCAUUCAACUCAUCUGGAGCCUUUCUUUUUGAAGGAGUCAGAAACCGAAACCGCAUCUUUGCAAAUUAGAAGGUGAAAAGAAUAUUGACUAGACUUCCAGGCGCAAAGAAUAUUGCGAGGAGUGCAACUGAUUAAUGGAACUUUCAAUGAAAUAGUGGGACUGAUUUUGAUCCAUAUGAAUGAGCAGAUUCAUUGAGGGAUUUCAGUGACCAAUUUUUCUUCUUUUCUUCCGGGCGAAGAAGCGAGACUCGCAGACGAGAGGGGACUGAAUUCAUUGUCCGUUCCUACAGCGGAAGGUUCCCCGCUAGAAAUCUUUUCUUUUCUUUCUGGUCUUCUAGCAAAUAUAGCAUAUUCACUCAUAUAACGAGAUUUUCAUCAAUCUCUAAAAUGAUCAAAGAUUCCCAAACUAACGUAAUCAAAAGUCAAGAAGACGUACUAAGUCACUCGCCCAAAAAGGCACAAAGUGGCUCGAGGCCCACGUAGCGGUUAGAAUAAGGAAAGAGAGUUGUAGAAGUUGAGGAGAGGGGUGGAAGCCGCUCGACUGUAAGGAGAGGGGUGGAAGCCGCUCGACUGUAAGGAGAGGGGUGGAGAAAUCCAUGCCUUUGCCUAAGUUCUGACCUUAUUAAGGUGCGCUUCUUUCGUUAUGAUUCAUAAAUGAUCCCUUCCCACUGCCCAUUGAUGGAGAUCUUUGGUCCCAUCAGAUUGAGUCUUUUCAGGAUCAGUUCUUUGGUGAAGCAUGAAGAGCUAAGCCAUCAGAUCAUCAGCCUUUUGUUGGGAUCCCUUCGUUCUCCUACCAUAGUUUUCCCGGGUAUGAGGCUUAGGCAAAGAGAAAGAACUGCCCGCGCGGAUGACCUUUCUGCUCAACGACGACGGAUGAGGCUUCCUAUUUACCUUGCUGGUAAUAUCUGCUCGGCGCACUUCUCCUACGGGUAGAAGGAAUGUGCCUGGAACUCUCACCUCUUUUGAAAGGAGAUCAGACUCUUUUCUAACUUAACCUGUAACAGAAAGACGAAAGCGAGUCGGCUUCUUUGCCCUUUCCUCCCUACUGUAGCAAGCAGCCAAAGACCUUGAAUUGCUCGCUUCGCUUCCUCUUCCUUUGGUCGAGCAGCUUUCGCUUCCCCGUAGUAGGAGUCUUAUGUAGUGCCGUAGGUUGUAAUAGUCUUUGAAAAUCAUCCAAACCGUCGUCCUGACCCUUAUUUAUCCCGAAAUCUUCUUUGAGCCUCAAUCAUUGAUUGUAAUAGUCUUUGAAAAGAAAAGAAAGGCAUAUUUCAUUGCACCGCGGAGUGGGCUUACGCUUGAUUUUUGAUAAGGACAUAUUAACAGCUUCUCUUCUUUGGUUCAUUCCAUAAUUCUUCUGAUCUUCUUUUUCAUAGUAAAGUAAAUCAUCAAAACGUCUUUUCUUCUGAACUUAUAUAAAUGCGCUUGCCUUCUAACCUUGGUCUAGGUGCCUUACCUACGGUGCCUUCUCGUAGGUGCCUUGCCGCGUAGAAGGACUCGUCUUUUCUUCUGAACUUAUAUAAAGUCGCUUCCCUUCGCACUCAAAUUUCCGCAAUAUUCUUUCUCAAAUUCUUUGAGCCUCCUUCCUUCCAUAUGGAUGGUCCUACUUCGGUUAAUUACGGAUGGUCCUACUUCGGUUAAUUACGGAUGGUCCUACGGAUAAAUCCUCCGGACUACUUCUAAUGGAUAGUCCUACGGAUAAAUCCUGCGGACUGCGGACUCCGGACGUAGGAUAAAUCCUCCGGACUACUUCCCUCCAUAUGGAUGGUCCUACUUCCAUAUGGAUAGUCCUACGGAUAAGAAUCCUCCGGACUCCGGACGUAGGAUAAAUCCUGCUUCUAAUGGAUAGUCCUACGGAUAAAUCCUCCGGACCCUGGACCUUUCUUUGAUGGUCCUACGGAUAAAUCACCUGGACCUUUCUUUGGCACUCCGGACCUGUCUUAUGGCACCUCCUCCGAAAGGAAAUAAGGAAUAAGAGUAUCUACUCGGUAAAGCUUAAUACCUAAAUCCUAAGCCGACUCGUGAGAGCUGAACCUAGCCUUUCUCCUAUUGGUAUUCUCUUGUCUAGCCUACGCAAUAUUCUUUGCACCUUUCUUCUUCUUCAACUUCUCCUUCUUCCGAGCCAAGGAAGCGAUUCAUUCUCAUCGUGCCCGAGGCCCGGAUCUGAUUCCCUAGCCGAGAUGAGGCAUCUCUUCUCAAGUCAUACUUCUUCGAGAGUUCCGAUUUCAGUCUUUCAGACUGAAAUACCCUCCUCACUCAAUCUUCUGAGUUCUAGCGCUAGUUCACACCGAGUAAACUCCUUCAACUAGGUAAAGCACAGUCUAUAUCAGUCUCCUAUUCUAAUGCACUCCUUUCCCUUCCUUAUUCAUAGACUGUAUCCAGAAAAAAACUCUUUCUGAUGAAUCCUAUGCUAACUUCUUCUUCAAGUGAAAGGUAUGCGUGGAAGACUAAGGAGAAUUUCUGGAAGUCUUCCUUCCUCUUGGUGUGCUGAGACUCGGCCGGGAGCUGGAGACCCACUCCGCGGUUAGACAGCCACUGCUACUUCCGAUUCUCGAGCUAUUGCGCUUCCUCUUCCGAACUUCUUCUUAUCCUUCCCUUCGUGCGAGCUAGUUCUCUCCUGGGCGUCCGCUCAUAACCAAUUGAGAGCUCCUCUACCUAUCGACCGAUCGGGGUCGGGGCUCAUAGGGAAUAAAUGCGAGAGGGUACUCGGCUUUCUAUUAAGGAGUGGGUUAGUAGUGCUCUUUCGUAAAGUGGGUAGAAGGGCUAGGCCCGCAGGAUAAGCCGCUAAGAAAAGGACCAAUGUAGAUAGGAAGAAUGCUGAAGGAGAACGAGAACCCACUACGCGGUGAGGACUAGCCUCGCGAAGAGCUAGAACUAAGAGUCAGUAGAGGCAUCCGUCGGCCGAGGCUAGGCCCACACCCAGGAUCAGAAGAGAGAGAUGGCUAUCUUUCAGAAGAGGAGGUCAGCUCUUUCAAGCAAGGGAUAUGAUCAAUCGGCGGGAGCUAUAUAAAGCGAAAGGGUAUCGCUCCACCCAGGUGGGGAUUCCCCCUAAGAUCAGAAUGACUUCAGGAGCGUCGGCAGUCGCUCUUCUUCUUACUUAAAUAAAAGAAGGUGCCCCCUUUAGUGGAGAAUAAGAUGGCAGAUGAAUUAGACCUUUCCUUCUUAUUGAAAGAAAGAUUCACCGACGCAAUAUUCUUUGCACCUCAAAAUUUUGCGCAAUAUUCUAUAAGGAAGGCAAUAUCAAUUUCAGGCCCACGGAGCGGUGCAAAGAAUAUUGCGUCGAGGAGGCUCCAUAAGACAGGGAUAUUGUUGGAAGGCGCAAAGAAUAUAUAGAGAAAAAAAUAGAUCGAAGAAGAAGGAAAGCCAUCAAAAAAGUUCAGACGAGACCGAAGAGGGGAGGGGAGAAGUCCCAACAAGGUAGCCGUAGGGAAACCUGUGGCUGGAUUGAAUCCAUAGCGUCCAGCAAGAACAUCCAUAAAGGGGAGCGGAGCGGAUUAUGGCCGCUCGAUAGAGGUUUUAGUGGAAUGAAUGAGUUUCCGGAGCAGUUGGGAGUGCUUUGAAGAAGAUCAAGCCUAGUGGUCUAUGUUCCAUAAAUCAGUCCGACUAUCGAUAGACGAUGAAAACAUCUCGGAAGCCCACGGAGCGGUUCAAAUCCCAUUCUUUCUCCUGAAAUUUGCUAAUAACGUAAUUCAUGAAAGAGCGAUCCGCCUGAACAACUUACACCAUUUCUUGAGUGAGACCUAAAAUGGACGCGCAGAAAGAAAGGUGAAAAGAAUAUUGACCUUCCAUCCUAUCUAUUUCAAAGAAGAGCAUAGAAGUAGCUGAGAGGCAGGGUAGCCUCAUUGACUUCUUCUUUCUCUUCUUUUAUCCAAUUAGAAGAAAGAAAAGAAGGACUUGCGUAACCCCUGGCUCAAACCCACCCGUUAGAGCAGCGAGCUGCUUACUCCUUUCAGUCGAAGGAUAGGUGCGAAGCAACGAAAGAUCAAAAUUGACAAAGAAGACAAGACUCAAAUUAAGAAUAAGAAAGAUCAGUCAGAAGAACCUACUAAAAUAUAAGAAGCCAGAGAAGAAAGACGCAUAAUGUCUAAGAGGGAGUGCAAGCAGUUUCAUGAUCUCUUCAUUCUCAUCUCUCUGAUUAGCUUGAGAAACCCCUGAAAGAUACUUCCCCCUCAAUGAUCUGAUCUUUCGCAGUUCUUCAUAUCUUAUUAUUUCUUUAGAGGAGCGAGAGAAGAGAAAUCUCAGCUAAUAGCAUGAAUAUCCUUCGCCCCUUAUCUCCUCAUCUUCCUAUUUAUAAGGCACAGCUUACUUCGACGUUUCCAAUUUCCCAUAGAAUCUCCGGGGCUUUCCUAGCAACUCUCGUUUUCUUUUUUUAUCUUCUUUGUCUGAAAAUGGGUUUGAUUUGCUUCACCUAUUCAAAUUUCUACGGAUUCUUCUUUUAUUCAGCAAAGCUCAUCCUAAUAUCCGUCGAGAUUACUGCCUUAGCCCUGUCCUAUCAUCUGUAUAAUGGGGUUCGUCAUUUAUUUCAUGAUUUUUCUUUCGUCACUACUUCAAAGAAAAAUAUCUUAUGAUUUCUAGCUCUCUUCUUUAAAGCUUAUGCCGUAGAAGAUCAGGCUAUUGGCCUUUUAUCUGCAUCUUCCUGACCAAGACCCAGAAAGAAGGUUAGAAUAUGCUCGACUGGUACUUGGCGGAGAGGUUAUCAUAGAAAGCUGCUUUACCGUCUUUACAAAAAGCCCACGGAGCUAGAAUCAGACUUCCAGUUUCAUGAGAAGAUCAGAAGAUCAAUGAAGAAGGUUCAAAGAAUUUGACUUUACUACUUAUAUCUAUCUUCUUCUAAUCAGAAGAAAGGAGAGAGAAGACGAAGGCAGAACCUACUAUUUGGAAUCAGACUCUGACGGAGAAGUCCCAUAAGAAGAGAUACAUCAAAAUCAAAUGAAAUUCGUAUUUUUUAGGUUUUCAGGCUAAGAAAAAGCCUAGUAGAAGGAACCUUCACCAAGGCAUCCUUAAUCUUGCAUCAAGCAUCAUGAAAAUUCUUUGAACCUCGUUCAUUGAUAGUAAUCCGCUCCGUUUUCCUUAUACGCCGUGGGCUUCAAACCUUGCCGUAGGCCGCCUCAAUGAACAAGGGGGCUUUCUUUAGUAGGUUUAGCCCUUGUUCAUUGACUUUCUCUUUCUUUCUGGGAGAAUCCCAUAAAUUCAUAUGGAUAUAAAUCAGUCCUUCGCCUCAAUUCACUUUGCGACUGAGGACGGAUAGGCUUUCCUGAUUUAGGCUUUCUUUAGUAGAAUAGCUCUCAUCAAUAUCCCUGUCUUAUGGCACCUCGCAAUAUUCUUUGCACCUCAACGUUCUCGCAAUAUUCUUUGCGCCUCCCCGUAGUUAGGAGUAUUAAGACCGGUCCUACGUCCGGAGGAUUUAUCCGUAGUCCGGAGUCCUACGUCCGCAGGAUUUAUCCGUAGGACUAUCCAUUAGAAGUAGUCCGGAGGAUUUAUCCGUAGGACUAUCCGUAAUUAACCGAAGUAGGACUCUAAAAAAAACGGAGGACCUGUCUUAUGGCGCCUUUCUUUUUGGAAAUUCAUGGAUAGGGCUUCAAACCUUGAACUGAAAACCUCUGUAGAUAUUAUGAUCCUCUAGAACCUACUAUUUCUCAUCAAGCCUAUCUUCCUUAUACCUUUUUAUUCCGUCCGCCUCAAUGAACAAGGGUCUUGUCUUCUUUUUCUUCUUCCGCUUUCUUCUCAAAUUCUUUCUACUACUCAUUGACUCCUUUCAGUCGAGCCCUCCGGCUUUCAAAGUGGACUCUACCCGCGGGGUCCUUCUCAAAUUCUUUGAUCCUCAGUCCUAUCCAUUAGAACGUUGAGGAGGAGGAGGUGCAAAGAGCGACGUCCGCUCCUUUCGCAAAUUCUUUGCGCCUCUUCCUCAAAUUCUUUGAGCCUUCGGACCAGCUGACUGAUUUAUCCAUAUAGAUCCAACGAUCCCCAUAUUCAUUUCGGAACCGCGUAGGAGGUUCAAAGAAUAUUGAAUGAAAGGAGAGGCGCAAUGAAAUAUGCCUUGAAUGAAUGAAUGAUCAAGAAAGCGGAAAAUUUGAGCAAUAUUCUUUUCUCAAAAACAAUAUCCCGCUACGUGGGCCACGAUCUUUGCGCCUCGCCUUUGUUUUUGGAGUUUUAAGACCGCUUAUUUCAGUUCCAUAAUACUCCUAAAAUCAAAGCUCUAGAUCCUAAUGGAUAGUCCGGAGGACGGAGGACGGGUCAAAGAUUCUUAAUCAAUUGAUUAGACAACAGGUCCGAAGGCUAGGCGCAAAGUUCGGUUAAUUACGGAAAGUCCGGAGGACUACUUCGGUUAAUUACGGAUGGUCCUACUUCCAUAUGGAUAGUCCUACUUCGGUUAAUUACGGAUGGUCCUACGGAUAAAUCCUCCGGACUCCGGAUAAGAAUCCUGCGGACUCCGGACCCUGGACCUUUCUUUGGCCCUGCGGACGUAGGACUCCGGACUACGGAUAAAUCCUGCGGACGUAGGACGUAGGACAGGUGACGGGGGAUUGAGAAAAGCAAAGAAUUUGCGAAAUAAGCGGUUCAAUUCCCACUACGCGGGAGGUUCAAAGAAUAUUGAACUUGAUUUUGUAGGUUUAGAAGUUGAAGUUCUCAAACUCAAUGAACUAUAAAGAAAGCACUGAUAAUGGAUAGUCCUCCGUUUUAGAGUCCUACGGAUAAAUCCUCCGGACUGGAUCUUGUAAGGAAGAAGGCUCAAAGAGAGUAUCCAACAACUAAAUUCCAUAAAGAAAAAGCAGGAACAUGAAAGAGAAGUCCUAGUGAAGUUUGAGUGGAUAAAAUCAGUUCUCAAAUUUCAUUGAUCCUUCGCUCAAUGCCCACGGAGCGGGAGGCUAAAAUCAAGGCUUUUAGUGGAAGGCAACUCAUAUUACAUUGAGCCUGCAACUUCGGAUAUUGAUGGCGCAAAGAAUUUGCGAAAGAAGGCGCUUCUAAUGGAUAGUCCGGAGGACGGGGGAUUUGAGGCGCCAUAAGACAGGUCCGGAGGAUUUAUCCGUAGGACUCUAAAACGGAGGACCCAGAGAAAGAAUAUUGCGGAGAAGAAUAAGGUUCAAAGAAUAUUUCACUCAAUGAACAAGGCGCAAAGAAUAUUGCGUGAUCGAAGCGAAGGUUCAGCUUCAUUCCUAGGGCAUGUCCGGAGGCGCCAUAAGACAGGUCCGAAGGACUAUUAGGGAAUGAGAGGUUAAGCUUGAUAAAGUCCUCCGCCUAAUUCAAUGGAUAAAGAAGUCACCUGGCCCCUUGUUUUUAGUUCUUUGCGCCUUUCAGUUCUCUCAAAUUUCAUUGAUCCUCCGUAUUCCAAAAAAAAAGAAAGAAGAUUUCUACUCAAUUCAAUUUGCAAAAUCAAGCUCCUUCUCAAUCAGUCCUAUCCAUUUUUUCUGUAAGGAGAGGCGGAGGAGGCGCAAAGAAUAUUGCGUAAAGGCUCGACUAAGAAGGAGAGGAGCGCUCCGUCGUCGGUCGUCCAAAAUAUAUAUGUAGAAUCGUCAGAUGGACAUUCUUUCUUUUCUGGAACCUCCGCUAGGCGCAAAGAAUUUGCGAAAUAAGCGCGGAAGGCGCAAAGCAUAUUGCGUGAGAAAUCCCGUCCUCAGUCGCAGUCCGGAGGACCUGUGACGCCUCCGUCCUUCGCAAAUUCUUUGCGCCUAACUACGGGGUCAAAGAUUCUGAAUCAAUUUAUUAUACCAAAGCUAGGCCACAGGAACGCACUGAUUUUUGUACAAGCUUAAGGGCGAUCUAUUUUUCUUAGAAGCAGCUUUACCGAGUUGUAGAGGUUCAGGGGAAAGCUUUGUUUGGAAUUCGACCUCUCCUUAUACGCGGGGUCAUGGACUCCUUUUUCGUUUAGGAUCCCCUUUCGACAUUCAAUUCUUUCUUUUUCUUGGUGUGGAAUCACAAUCAUUACACAUUCAUUCUUGGUCUGGCUGCUGGUCUAGCGAUCCCUCCUCUCCUAGGCGCCCUCUCCGCCUGAAAUUCAUUUUUAGGUAUAGGAGUCUCGCCGCUUCGCACGUCGUCAGUGCAGCCUGCCUGUUGAAGACCGUAACGUAAGUAACUCAGUGCUCUAUAUAGAUAUAUACGGGGGAAAUGAAAGCAGAAUUUGUUCGGAUCCUCCCACAUCCCACAUCCCCCAUACAUGUUCAAUCUUUUUUUAGCGGUUUCCCCAGAGAUCUUUCUCAUUAAUGCAACUUUCAUUUUGCUCAUUCAUGGAGUUGUAUUUAGUACCUCUAAGAAAUAUUCUUAUCCACCGUUAGUCAGUAAUGUGGGUUGGCUUGGAUUACUUAGUGUUGCGCGCCUAGGAGGGCAGCGCGCUUUGGGAUGCGGAGGAGCUAUUAUCGCCCAACUCCCUAACCUAAUGCGGGACCGGGUUCGGGCCGCAGGGAACCGUAGCAUGGGGGGACGUCUAAUCCUUUUGCCGCCGCAAGGCUGGCUAAUCGUACGCAGCAGGCUCGAAGACCCCUGGUUCUGGAAGGCACAUGAGUCCGAACGCUAUGUUGAAUGUGCGACCGACACUACACUACGUAGGUACCUGUGCAGGUGAGGCGUCGGUCGGUCCUAGAAACGGCGGCAGCGGAGGAGUUCACGACCGGACGUGCUGCAACCUAGGGAUCACCAGGCAGCUCUUUCGCUCUUAAGGGAUCGGGGGGGCAUAGCACAAUUCUGAUUGGAGGAGGGUUGCUUUGCCCGGGUGACUGAUCCUGCCAUAAUAUAAUGUACUCCUACCUAUAGCACCGGCAACCGAAGUCGAGCAUACAUACGACGAUCUUCAUGCGUGAAUAGCCGGGAGGAAAGAAAGGGCGGUAGAUGAUAAUGAAAAAAGGGCUCAGCGUCUGGACGGGCGGAAUGGAUGAGCGAAAGGUGCCAUGCCAUGGAGUGAGGAAUAUCCCGAGUCUCAUCUAAGACAUCAAAAUGAACCUCGAGGUGCUGCCGAGGAACUGGGGGACCUUCUCGAGCACAGGAUAGGCAAUUGAGAUCUCGAGCUAGCCUCUUCGUUAUGGGGAAUCAAUGCUCCGGGCCGAAUAGAGCUUACCUCCGGCACCUGGCUUUCUCCGCUCCGUGGGCAUAUUAGCUUAGCUGCGCUUAAUAGGCCGGUUUGCCUUCCAUUCAGACUCCCAGAAAGUUCAAGCCUAGCUCCGUGGGCCACGCUACACUCCCACUCCAAGCUAGGCCUGCUGAGCAAGAUGCAUUGCUCUUUCCUCUUCUGUGGACGCACCUCACAUAUUCCCAAAGGGAAGAGACAGACUUUUUUCGGAGGCGGGCUUUCUCUCUACAAGCCAAAGAGGCCCCAAGACAAGGUAGAAUUGUUGGGAAGGGGACAUGAGAAAUAGAACCUGGCUGGAUUCGGGCUGGUCUCGUGGCCCCAUUCCUAACCAGUUCCGAAAAGGUUCGCUCAUGCUGGAGGGAGCAUCCCCAGAUCGGUCCGCUAGUUCACGCAAAUCCGAAGAAGUUAUCACGGACGAGCCACAUGCAGGGAAACUUGCACGUGUGGUUCUGGCCGUCAAUAUUCUUUUCACCUUCUUCAUUGAGGCGGUAUCUAAUAACCUUGCUUCUGCUCGCCGCUGGCGCACCUCUCCUAACUAUUGGCCAUUUAUUCUGGAAUCAUUUUUUUAGGAGGGACAAUUUUACAUAUUUCUGCCAAAUACUUCUAUUAUUAAGUACGGCUGGUACCAUUUCGAUGUGUUUCGAUUCUUUCUUUAAAGAGAGGUUUGAUGCUUUUGAAUUCAUUGUAUUAAUUCCACUUCCUACUCGCAGUAUGCUCUUUAUGAUCUCGGCUCAUGAUUCAAUUUCCAUGUAUUUAGCUAUUGAGCCUCAAAGUUUAUGUUUUUAUGUGAUGGCAGCAUCAAAAAGAAAGUCAGAAUUUUCCACGGAAGCCGGCUCGAAAUAUUUGAUCUUAGGUGCAUUUUCCUCUGGAAUCUUACUGUUUGGGUACGACCGGACAACUACCGAUAUCUAAAAAUCUCCUUUCUGAGAAAUUAGUAAAAUGGAAGAAAUUCCAAGCCUAUCCUCCGGACUCCCAUAAAGAUUGAGUUCCAUAAAUCAGUCCGACGCACAUAAGUUUGAGUGGAAUCUUUUCGGAAUUCUUUCAUGAGACAAGAAAAGGAGUUCAUACACUGAUUUUCGCCGUUUUUAGGUUUGGAAGAAAGCCUAGGCAAGGCUCUUUGAAUGAUCUCGGACUAUUUUCUCAUUCAUUGAUCUAUUUUGAUGCCUCCAGAAAGCCUAUCUUUCAGUUCCAUAUAAAGAAGUCCGCGGAAGUUUAGUUUCCUUCUAAUGGAUAGUCAUCUGGACCUUUGUUCUUUGACCGCCUUGAUUUUAGCCUCUGGACCUCUUCACAGGCUCAAAGAAUUCUCUCAGGACUUCUAAAUUCAUAUGGGGAUCUGGACGGAUGAAAGUAGGGAAAUCCAAGUAUAUAUAUACAACGUCAGACCCUCUAUGUAGUUGUCGAGAUAGGGCGAUCGAUCUACAUCUUUGUCCAUAGCCCAGGUGUCUCGAUCUCCUACGUGCGAAAUCGGAGGGACUAGUUCCUAUGGAGAUUCCCCUUGGUCUAAUUCCACGCCUUAUGACGAAAGGGGAGUCGGCGUGGCGUAAAGUUCAGAUUGAGGGAAGUAGAGCUAAAUUCCCCUUAGGGGUAUUCCGAAGGUGUAACCUAGGCAACGAAAAAGGGGCCCGAUACUGAAAGACGAGUCGCAGAGCGAAGGAACUCGACCCUUUUGAGAGUUGUAGAGAAAGAGGAAGAAAGAGAAAGAGAAAAAAAGACUUGAUCUUUCAUGAUCUCUGAAUUCGAUCUUUCAUUCUCUCUUUACAGGAGCAAAGCAAGUCAACUGUCAAGGAGAAGAGCGACCGGUUCACCAAACCCCGACCCAGCGUCCCACGUUCUCCAGGUCCGAAGGGAUCCAGUGCCCAACUACCGACUCCUCCCGGAAUUGCAUUAUCGGAGCCGAGCCAGGAAUGGCCGUUAGUGGACACCCACCACUUUUCACCGGUUAGAGAGGCCCUCUUUAAUACAUGAAAAAAAGAUGUUCACAGGGGCCAGAAAGACUCGGUCAUAGGAACUUAGACCACCUACGCGCUGGUAAAGGAAAAGCACCUCGACCGGAUCAGAGUAAACAAGAAUGUCGAUCAGGCCCCUUGCCUUGAAAGAAUUCACACGCGGCCACCAGCUUUCCCAAAAUCAGGGGAGAUCCGCUGCUUACUGUUCACGGAAACAUCCGACCUAUACGAGAGUCAAGUCGUCCAUAUGAACCUACUUUUGGGGCUUAAAGGAAUCUAAAAGGAAGAAAAGAAAGCCUAGAAAAAACUAGAAAGGAAGAUAGGCUUUUCAAUCUUCUUUGAACCUACUAGUUCAAGAUUCAAUCAGAGCAGGACUAUCCACUGAAAGUAGAAAAAGAUCAGAAUAUCUACAGAGGUUUCAGAAGAGGAAGGUGAAAGUGAAAGAAGAAGAAAGCCCACCUUCCAUCUAAUAGUCCUCCGGACCACUCCGCGGUCCCAUAAGACAGGUCCGAAGGACUAUCCAUUAGGGGAGCUGAGGAAGGAGCAGCUGGACACUCUAUUUCUGAAUUGAGUGGAAUCUUUUCGGAAUUCUUUUUUCAUGAGACAAGAAAAUUUUGAGGUUUGGAAGAAAAUCAAUGAACAUCCAUAAAUCAAGGGAGCCAAGUUCGAACUAAGAGGAGAUCCAAAUCCAGAAAGGAAGCAUCAAAAUGAAAUUCUUCUAACUUAGUGCUUGAAUAUUUUCAUCAGUUCCAUAAAUCAGUCCCAAGAACAUGAAAGUGGAAUUCUCAGAAGUCCAAAAAGAAAGAAAGCACUACGCGGAAGUGGAAGAGAAAUAAAGAGAAAGCCUAGGUCAUAAUCAACGGAAGACUACAGGAUCGGGAAGGGUUGGAAGUAGCUCGACUCUGAUUCCGUAAUUUCAUAACUAAUGAGUAAGAUCUUGAAGGAGAAGUGAUUAUUCUCUUCCAUUAUCAAAGGGCAUUUUUUUCCAACAAGAGGCGCAAAGAAUAUUGCGGAAAGCAAGCAGAAAGCGGUAGGGGCCUCAGUCUUCCUUAGUAGGGGGGUCGGACGAAGAAUGAAUAAGUCUUCUUUCCGUGAGUUGGACUAUUAGUUUGCAAGAGAGAGACUUAGACUUCGCAUGAGUCACUUCAUUCCCAAUCGGGGGAGUGAAAGAGUCAUCCGUCUCAGUUUAUGUUGAAGAGGAAGACUUGGGGGUAGGGUAGACUGGAAAGAAGAGAUCAAAAUAGGGUUCUCGGUACGACUUAUUCUACUUCAUAGGUAACUGAAAGCAAGAAGAGGAAGCUCCCCCUGAUUGAGUAGCUCUCCUCUUUUUUCUGAGUCUGAGUUCCGGAUCUCAACUGAAAGAGGCGCAAAGCAUAUUGCGUGAGAAGCGAAGUGAGUCCGUUCUUCCAUUUCUUUUCUAAGUUCGUAUGAGAAGGAUAGGUUGCUGGUCCACCGUAGCUUAAUAUGGGAAGAAAGGCUAUCACAUGAAAUAGGAGGCUCAAAGGUAGAAAACUCCUCCUUCUACGCGGCCGAGUUUCAUUCAAGAAUCGGAAUGAGAGUAGGACUAGCGCGCGAACUCGCGAACUCUCUACAUGGAUACUCUUACGUGAAAGCCACUACGCGGUAUUAUUUUCUAGAAUAAGAGUGAGCAUUAGAAGGAUCGGCUGAAAGGUUCGACUCUGAAAGGGGAAGGAGAGGCGCGAAGCGAAGCGACGGGAAAGGUUAGACGCCGCUCCGCUGAUUAUAGGAAACAAAGAAAGCCACGGACUAAGUAGGUUUCAUAUUCAAUGAAAUAGAAGAAGCAUACGAGGAUCGCAGAAAAAAGGGUUCUAGGAAAGCUGCUCGCCCGACACUCAGAUAGAGGUUGAGUAUUCCCCUUGCUCUUGUCCCUGUCUUUCUCUUUGAUGAGAUAAGUUACGCGUAGUCUAGAGCUCGUUGGUAUUCUUUCAUUCCUUCCCCUCUCAAGAAAGCCUUUAUACUCGCAUGAUGGAGACCUUGCACGAGAUCUCCUUUGGUCCUUCUACACCGCCUCAAUGAAAAAUCAAGCUCCAGAUGAGUUGACGUAUUCUAACCUUGUACAUUUGCACAUCUGAAGUAGGGGCAUGAAAAGGAGAAAGAGCCGCUUAGUUGGAGUUGACUCGGUAACCUCAUCGGCAAGGUAACUCAAAGCAGAAAGGGACAAGUUCGUCAGUCAGAUCACUCAGAAGCAAGGGCGCGGAUCGAUGCAGCUUUCCAUAAAUAAGAGAGACGGACUUAUCUGGUAUUUCAUUCUUAGACCAAGAGUCAUCUUUCCGAAGAGUCCUCAUCUCUUGCCGAAGCCUCAGUCGGGUCCGGAGCUUCUUUCCCUUUUUUAGUCGGUACGAAGCUCCUUAAUUAAGAUAAGAGAUCGGCCGACUAAGAACUAAGAAUCUGUUGCCGAUCUUCUUGAAUGAGUUCCAUCCAGAGUCAGCUCGAAGUUCGUAUUCUAAGUUGCGGAAGUACUAUGAGAAAGUCUGAUCUCUUACCGAAGCGAGAGGGUAGAACGACUGUAAAGCAGCUCGUAAAGCUUAGAAUAUGCGAGACCAUAGGGAGAGGGGGCGGGGAGAAGGGAAGAAUUGGGAAAGAUGAACCGAAAAUCUGAGCAAUAUUCUUUGCGCCUACGCUAUAUACUCCGAAGGACGUCCUCUGGACUAUGAAACCUAUUUCUUUGACGGAUCCAAAUCCAAUAAGGCCAAUUAUCCAUUCAAUCUAAUAUCAUAUUUCUUUCAUGCUCGAGUACUCAGUGAAUGAGUCCGUAUAUCAAGUAUCUUCCUCCUUUCCGUAAGGAAAAAUGCAAUUCUAUUCCCCCUAAGACCCAAUGAGUAGACAGAGGAUUAGUAGUGGCUAUCAUCUCAAGAUUUCAGGAGUUUAGACGAGCGAGAUCGGGCAGAAUGAGGGAGGGCAUACGCACUUAGCUCACAGAUCUAGACUUCUCCCAUGUUCUAGCUUUCCCUUGCCUCCCCUAAUAGUCAUCAUCACUGCUUGACUUGACGUCUGUAUCUGACUCCACACUCUCACUUUCUCGCAAUAUUCUUUGCGCCUACGCCUCGUCCGGAGUGCCAAAGAAAGGUCCAGGGUCCGGAGUCCGCAGUCCGCAGGAUUUAUCCGGAGGACCAUCAAAGAAAGGUCCAGGUGAUUUAUCCGUAGGACCAUCCGUAAUUAACCGAAGUAGUCCGGAGUCCGGAGGAUUCUUAUCCGUAGGACUAUCCAUAUGGAAGUAGGACCAUCCGUAAUUAACCGAAGCAGUCCGCAGUCCGGAGUCCGCAGGGCCAAAGAAAGGUCCAGGUGAUUUAUCCGUAGGACCAUCCGUAAUUAACCGAAGUAGGACCAUCCGUAAUUAACCGAAGUAGGACUAUCCAUAUUCAGGAGCGGAAUCAAGAAUAGACCUCUCUUUCUCCGGACCAUAAACUCAAACUAGAAGUUUGAACAUUGAAUUUCUUUUAUAGGCUUGAUUCUUUCAUUGCGUUUUCCCGGCUUUUUUGCUUCUUUUUCAUAGUAAAUCAAAGAUUUCUAUUUAACGAAAAUUGUCUAAAAAUGACAGAUUUUUCAUGAUUUCUUGCUACUUUAUAGGCCCAAAACCUAGCAUUUCCCUCCGCGGAUUCAUCUGAAAUCUAGCACAAAGAUGUCUGAAAUCUAGCAGAUUCAUAAUUCUUCUUUCAUUCCCAUUUUGAGCUUCUUUCAUUAUCGUUAAUGAAGAAUCCACAAAUGUCUAAUCUUUCUCAUCCCCUAAUGGAUAGUCCUUCGGACCUGUCUUAUGGGGCCUCCGUAGCUUAAUAUGGGGAAUAUUGCCUUCCACUGAAAAUUUAGGCGAAGGACUAUCCAUAUUAACUGUGCUUUCGGGGUGUAGCCGAUCCGAUUUGGUCGCACAAUCAGUGCCUUCUCUCAUAUUUCAUUGACCCUCUUGACGGUAAACCGGAGAUGCUUUACCCUUUCCCUCUGUCUCGUAUAAUACACGCCCUACGCAGUCGUGCCACUCGCACGUCCGAGGUAAUCUCGGAGUUCUGACAUAAAUAUGACGCCCCCUUGCAUGUCCGAGAAGGGUGUAGGAAGGUGGUUAUCGCCAUGCGUGCAGUGCGGACCCACCUUGGGAUCUUUGAUACCUUCUCGGGAUGCAUUAAUCGGAUUGGUCUUCGGCCUCUUUGUUCGUAGUUUGUGUAUCGUCCAAUAAAAAGGUCAGCCGGAUGUUCACUGACUACCAACGAUAAUCGCAAAUCGAGAAAAGAAAGGCCGAUAGGCACACAAAUAUAGUAGUAGGAUUAUCCCCUCCUGCUCCGUGGUUUUUUUUUGGUUUUCUGUUAGAAAUACGCGUAUUUAGUGCAUACGAGGCUCAAAUAAGGUGAGGACCAAAGAUGGGUCUUUCUAUUCCGAGAAAAAUGGAAAUGAGAAAUGAGCAUGUAUUUGAAAAUGCGAAAUCCUCUUCCGAUUAGUCUGUCUCCCUCUAGGGGUUAGGGGGGAAAGGGAGUCUUAAGCACGGCUCGGAGAUUUCCCUUUAAGGCAAUUACAUCAACCAGAGGUUAAUCCGGUACACCAAUGUGGUUAGCUAGCCUCAUCCCAUUUCAAGCUCAUCCGAUGGUACCUUUGAUCCGCUAGCUCCCGGGGGAGAUUCUAUAGAUUGAAUAGGUGGCCCUUGUAUCAGCUAUGUGUAUCAGCUGUCGGUUUUUGGACCCCUAGGCUUUCUCUUUCCGCUUUAUUUAGAUCUCAAUCUCCUUCUCUUUCAGUUGCGGUUUCACAACCCCUCGGAUAUUCUUCCUCUGGUCCUUAGUUCCCCCUCUGGACCCUUGCUUUUACUCCUUUGAAUGAGAAAAUACUGGAAAAAUGCCCAAAAGGUCUAUGGUUCAAGCAAGUGCGAUGAGGGGUUUUGUCUUCUUUGAAUCUCAUUUCCCAGGGAGAUGAAACCCACUACGCUGUUUUGGGCUAGGCUAAAUGGAAUCUGUCCUUUCCUCUUUCAGUCGCCGUAGAUUCCUCAGUCUCACUUCCAAAUACCUCUCCUUCCUGGGGCACCCGUCCUUCUUCUUUCAGUUCCACUUUUAUUCCUUCUACCCUCUUCGGCUCGAGCUGCUUCGUUCGCUCUCUCUCUUUCUGUCUCGUUCUCGCAAUAUUCUUUGCGCCUUUCUUUUUUUUUUUUCUUUUUUUCAUUAAUUUCAUAAUAUGACUGAAUUCAAGAACCAUUCUUUUCAUUCUCCCCUUUUUCUGGAUUCAAACAAGAGGAAUUAGAAGGAGAGACCUACGGCAAGGAAAGCGUAGUAGGAGUCCGAAAAUCAAUGAACUUUGCGACUACAAAAAGCUCCAGAUGAGUUGAAUGAAAGGAGAGGAGAAGGAUGUAGCCUUUACCUUUAGGCCCAGAAUCACGAGACUGACUAAGCGAAAGAGGAAGAUCACGGGAAAAAGAAGAAGAGCUCGAGCCGGAUGGAAGAGGGGCGAAUAGACCGAUAAGGAUCUCCUCCUUUUUCUAUGUAUGGGGGGCAAGUUUACGAAGAGUCCGCUCGACCUGUCUGUCGAUUGACCCAUUUCCGUGGGUUCAGGAGAAAGGUAACUGAAAGAGACUGAGUCAGCGAGACCAUAAAGAGAGUAGACAGACGAGGUUAGAGAUCUUGAAGUUUAAGCAUUUCUCGUUUAAGAAGUGGUUGCAGGAGAGUUUAGGAAGUGGGUUCCUAGCCAUUGAGCCACUAGUCCGUCCCGAUCCUCCGAUCUCAUCCCCAGGGCGAGAAACUGAGUCCUGUCUCGUGUCGACUUUCCUCUUUUCUUAGUAAAUUAGUAGUUUGGAAUGGUGCGAGAUUCCAUCUUUUCUCAUGAGAGAGAUAUAACGUGGAACUACGGACUGGUUCAACCACAAAAGAAAGGGAGUCCUAAUAAUCCACGGGCCGAGCCUCUCAUCUCCAGUGCGCCUACCUAGCCCCGAUCGAUGGGGAUGGGCCUAAAGCGUCUAUAAAGAAAAUGACUCAACCACCAGGUACGGGUGUCUGACCUUUAGCUUGUGCGCGGAUGAGUAAGGUUCAGAAAGAAAGGCCAGUGAGAACCAAACCCACUAGGGAAAGACUACUACAUUAAGAGAGAGUUCGCGCUUCACUCAUACUGGCUGGAAGUCGAGCCCUUGAUCCUGGGCGAUUCCCCUUUCUUUAUCUUCGGAUAUGCCAAUGUGGAUAAGUCUCGUCCGUCUUGCUGGUCUCGCUUUCCUUCCUUGGCUUGCUUUUAUGAGCACCGGCAUAAGAGGGUCUGGGUAAGAAGACCAAUUCUCAUCCGCCGGUGAGCCCUAUCCAUUAAUUUGGCGGUUCUCGACCGCGGAGUGGGCUUGUAGCAUCCCUUUCUGUGGCUGUGGUUCUUUCCCUUCUUGCUCUUCUUGCGCUUCUUCGAUCGGUACUAGUGAUGCAUUUCUUUGUCUUUUAGAUGUCCCAACUCAUUUCAUUUAUUUACAAGGAAGAAGACUGAGGGAGGCAAAUCAAAGGAAUCCUCCUUCUGCAACCCGGAGGCAAAAAUAUCCAUCAGACGAGACUCAAAUUCUUUGACCCCUACAAUACCCCCUUUCUUAUGGAGCCUCAGUCCUCAGAAAAUCUAGACCUUUGUUUUUGCGGAAGAAAAACAAGGGUAAUUCUUACACUCGGACCUGUGGAAUCUUUUCUACAUCUACAUUGUUAAAAGAAAGCUAAGACAAAGACAAAGUACUAUUAUCCUCAAAUUCAAAGAGCCUUGCCUAGGCUUUCUUUCAGUAUUUUUGAGUAGUCUAGCUUCGGAAACUGAGACUUCCUAUUUCUUUCUCGCUGAUAACCGAUCCGGAGAGCAUAUUAUCUACUAUUCAGUUACGCGUCUGUUCCGAGAUCCCUCUAGUACUUCUUCCCUAGCUGAUGCUCGGCGCACUUCUCCUAUUCUUGUUUUCCUCGAAUUUGCAAAUGGAGGCUCGACUGAAAGGAGAGGAGGCGGUUCAAACUUGUGAACCUACUUAAAGGAAAGAUCGGUAGCAUAAGAAGAAGUUGCGCUUUCUUGAUUCUUAGUGGAUCUGGAUAGGUCCCAUAAAUCAGAAAAGAAAGAAUCUCAUCUUGACCUUUCUUUUUGCUAAAGUAGGUUGAGGAGAAGGAGGAUAGGCGAACCUGACUGAACUUUCUGAAACUUCCCCGGAGUCUGACUCUCUUCUGUAGUAGAGUGAAUCCCGUCCUUCGGACGGUCUUCUUUUUCUUCCUUGAACUGCUUUCUCAAAUUCUUUGAGCCUCUUAUGACUUUCUUUCUUUAGAUAUUCUGAUACUAUAACCUCAAAUACGGAAAGCCUACCGUCCGAACGUAGAAGGUAAAGGAGGGAGCGGACUACGGCAAAGAAGCGGAGCGGGGAAGUGAAAGGUUUUCAUAGAAAGGAAUAAAAAGUCAAUGGAAGUCCUGGAGCCUCCUACCCUUGUUCAUUGAGGCCUUCUCCGCCUCCGGCUUUCUUCUUCUCCUACUACUGAUUUUUCAAUUUCUUUUCUUGUUCUUAUUAAUGUAAUUCAUUCAUUCAAAGAAUGGCGGCUAAGACUGCUUGGGCUAAGAAUAAGAGGAGCUUUUGGAAGGGGAUUCUUCCUAUUUCCUUUCAAAAGGAUGGCUAAGCUUUCGCCGAUGAAUCGCUAAAGGAUACCAGGAUUAGAACGCAUUCUUUCGGAAUUUCAUGGAAUUUGAUUGAAGAUUUUCAAACUAAACUAGUAAGAUAACUUUGGACAAUCUUUAGGCGUUCUGAACCAGCCAAGAAGUGAAGUUUAUUUAAUGAUUCAAACUACUAAUUACACUAAAAAAGAUUUAGGAAGGUUAAGAAGGUUCAUUCUUAUCAUAUCACUCUGUCCCAGAAAAAGAAAGGAGAUUAAACGGGAGGAAAUGGCAAGUAGGUUAGAGGCUUAGAUAUUAUGUCCGUUGCACUGCCAUAGUUGUUGCAGAGGAAAAGCACGAAGAUGAGGAACUCCAUCAUCACAUAGCCCUACUAAAUGAGAGCGCAUCCCGACACAAUGCAAGACGGAUGAUUAGGGAAAAGCCUUCCCAGAAUGGGAGGGAAGGCAAUGCUAUGUCAGCUUCCAUAAGGCUUGGGGCAGCCUCUCUGUCUAUCUUAGAAAGCAAGACAAGAAGCCCUACGUAUGGGGAAGGUUCUCGCUGAAGGAGAUACUAAUCUCAGCCGAAGCUCUUUCAAAGCAUAGAAUAGAAGGGGGCCCCUCGUUCACAAGCACGAGCGGACCCAGAAGAUUUUACGAAAGAUAGAUAGUUACGAUAACUUCCUUCAUCUAAGGAGAGAUCCCGAGCUCGCGGAUCUCCUCUUGUCCAAAUACAGUACAAUGAUCAACCCUUGGGAAGAUUCGCAGCGCAUAAAGCUGCACAAGAUAUCCGCUAUGGAGCUAAUAGUAACCUAUCUCUUCGAGAGAGGGCGGCCCCAAGAAUAGACCGCCGAGGAAUUGCAAGAAAAGUGCCUAAUGCGUCAUUGGAUAGCCACCAAUGACGUCUUCCAGCGGCCCAUAAGGAGAAGACAGCUCUUUGUCUACGGCCCGCCAAGUACACAGAAAAUACUUCAGAUAAGUAUGUUAAAAAGGGGUGGCUUAAGGGUGGGCCAAAGGAAAAAUGACUAUUCUGGCGCGCAUGAUUACUUUGACCUAUGGGUUAUCGACGAGUUCAUGGAGGACAAGCCCCAGUCCCAAUUCGAAUCGGAACAGCGGGGAAGCUAUAUUCAUGCGGUACUCACCCUACUGGGCAGGAGUGCAGGCUAGAUGGAAAAUAUGAACGGACUUUUAUCAACGAACGUCCCGUUUAAUGGGAAACCGUAUUCCAUAUCUAGUUUCACCGUGGGAAAGACGCCCUGGGCAAAGCGCGUAAUGUCCUUACAGUUCAGUUCUACUUCAAAUAGAAGGAGCUCGACUGAGAGGAGAGGAGCAACCUUAUGCGCUUGCAUUUGCCGAAGGACCGACUAUGGUCGUCCCGUAUCCCCGCCUUAAAUACGAUUCUCUACUCUACGUAGAGUAGAAAUCACUCUAAGCCACCCUACCUACAGGAAAGAUCAUUUCCUUCCUCGAGAUUGAGGGGACGGAGGUGCAAAGAAUAUUGCGUGAGCAGCGGGAGAAAAAGCCUUAUCUAGACCGCUCCGUGGGGAUUUCUCAACUCCGUGAAAUGGAAAUGAAUGUACGGAAGUUUGCUAUAGUACCCCUUGCGGGUCAAAGAAUUAUCGAAAGCCCACCAAGAAAAGAAGACAGAGAAGGCUGCUUAUAAAAAGGGAGGAGGCCAGAGAAAGGACUAUGCAUUUUGGCCCCUCUUUUGAAAGAGAAAGGGGACGGGCAAGAUGCCCCCAUAAAAGUAGACCUUGACGAAAAGCCGGAGGGAGAAGAAGAGUGGAGGGACCUAUAUGAUAGGCUCCGGAAAGAAGAGAAAGAGCGGAGCUCCUCGGAGCGGAGGGAGAUAGAAGUCGAGAUUCUGAUUGGGCUACCGGAAGAGCACGGCCUGAGGAGCACGACGGUAGCUCAAGGAAGAGCAAGUUAGACCUGAAGGAGGCAUUCCGCUCCGUAGUCCACACCCCUACAUUCAAAUCAAACCCGGGAGCCGUAGCCCUCCUUCCUCGGCUACCGACCAUACAGAGAGAAGAGGGAAGAAAGGUUAGCUGUUCAGCUUCGUCAAUAUUCUUUGAACCUCUUGAUUCUCCUUAGAGUCCGCGUCAUUCUAAUGGAUAAAAAGAAGUCACCUGGACCUCUGAAAAGAUUUUAUCUGAAAGAUUUUUUUUGGGUGAUGAACAUUGUCCUUUGUGCUAGGAAAGGGCUAUCUCCGCGCCAAUAUAGGAUAUUCCGAAAGUGCAUAUAUACCGAUUCGACGAGCUUACUUUUUAGUGGUCUUUGAUCCCCCCUCCCAAACCGAUCGCUAUUGUUUUCUUGCUUUCUUCGUCAAUUGUGAGAGAAUGCCUUUCUAUCAGGUAUAGUUCGUAGGAUGAAGUGGGAUUCAGCCUUAGUGGAUAUAGCGUCUGUGCCGGGAAUGCGGCUCGGGCGUAGUAGGUCCGGACGCCUAAGCAUGAAGCAGCCUUCUCUGGUGGCGGCACUAUACCGGAUGUAUAGUAUCUCUGAGGCUUCGAGCAUCCAGACUAAUCAGUCUCAACCCAUUAGCGAGGGGGAUUAUUUGAAUUUGAUCAAGGAAGAGAAAAGAUGCGAUUAGACUUGAAUGAAUGAAAGAGAAGACGGAGCGAAGUGCUUCCGAGUUCAUUCUCGGAAAGAAAGAGUUCAAGCUUUCUCUUCUGAUCUUUCUUUUCUUCUCUGAAAUCAUAUAAAACCUGCUCUCAAGCUAAUAAAAAGCCGAGUGAAAGAAAGAGGGUAAGCAAGCAGCGGGAGCCACUUUAAUGAGUUUACGAGCCGAAGGCGCGAACCGAUGAAAGAGGGUAAGCAGCUCAAAUUCCUCUUUCUGGGGUUGGGUUGGGGUUGGGAAAUAGGUAGAUCCUAAAGUGGAGGGUUCUUUCUUUCAUGUGAAGCUUCAGCUUUUCUUUUGAAGAAGUCUCAGGAGAAUCAGUAGCCCUUGCCGUAGCCUUUCAUUUGAUCAAGUUGAAGGAAAGGAGCGAAGCCAGCAUAGCGAGAGGAGCGUCUAACUUGAAUGCAUGAAAGAGAAGAAAGAAGGUUUUUUCAGUACUGGAUAGUCUUGAGAAAGAAUUAAUACUGAUUCAUUCUUUCAAGUUUCAGGAGGGGAAGCGAGCCUAGAGUAGCAGCCUAUUACCUUUUUCAGGCCCCAUUCUAUUAGUAAAGGGCUAGCGCCCAGUCAGGCUGCUAUCAAUUCAACCAAAGAGAAAAAAAGCCCAGUGCCUUUUGUAUAGAUCGAGACUUCUAGCUUGAUUCUUUACUCAUUCCAUACUGAAGAAAUUCCAGGAAAUCAUUCGAUAAGACUGAUUCCGAUCUUUCCAUCUCAUCUAUCUUAUUCGGUCCAUCGGAGCUUGGAAGAUAGAGGAGAAAGAAUCUCUAUCUCUUAGAAGGACACCUUGGAGUUCUCUUUCGUCGAAGAAAACUUUUCUUUUCAUUCCAUCGGGCGGGUAGGAUUCCUCUUAGAAGGACUCCUUCGGUCCUCCCUAGCUUAAUUAGGGCUUCCUUCGGUCGCCUCGUAUAAAAGGUCUUACUGGGCCCUACCUAUUCACUCGUAUCGACUCGCUUGCAAAUAUAAGAGCUUGAAAGCAAAGUAAAGCAAGUCAACCGGCUCUCCUUCAACCUCGCCAUGCCCCAAGUCAAACCUCUCCAACUAGUUUUGACCUCAUGAAAGGAAAAAGAAUAUUAAGCCCUUAUUAAUAUUAAUGAACUUAAGGUUUUAGUAAUGAACUUAAGGUUUUAGUUUAGAAAGACUAUCAAAAACAAACAUAGACGAAAGACUCUGAAAAACAAAUGUAUGGCGCCUGCUCCGCUGUCUGAUUCUACGAAAAUGAAUGGAUUAUCUUAGCACAUCUUUCUCGAUGGAUAAUUGGGACCGAGGAAACUAUAUAAGUUUCACCGAUGAUGAGAUCCCACCGAGCAUAGAAAAGCUAUACAUAUUUCAGCAAGAUGUAAAGGGUGCACUAUUUCCCUUGGUAGACAAGGGAUUUGAAUCUCAUGCCAAAGUCAAGAUCAAAUGCUCAUCGAAAAUUCGCAUAUCAGACCAAGCCCUAUGAUUGUGCGAGCCUUUGAUGGAAGAGAAGUAAUAGGAAGAAGAAUUGAACUCCCAAUGGAAUGGAGUCCUGUGAGGUUUAGAUUUAAUGUGAUGAUGGAUAUCACUCGUAGACCUUGGAUUCAUUCUGCUGGGGCUCUCCUCUUUGCAAGCUUUAAUUCAUCAUUUCAGGUAUUCAUUUUUUCAUCUUCCUAGCCGACAAGUCCUCACUAGUAGAUCGUCUGAUCUUCAUCGGAAAAGAAUUCCUUCGCUUGCUUUCUCACUCUGGUUUACAUAAUAGAUAUGAAUGGAAGGUCUGACCCUAUCAACCAAGAAAGAAUGAAAUACCUCAUAUCCAAGCUUAGGAUAGGAAUGAAAGAAGGCUUGCCCUACUAUGACUUCCUCCUUCGUAUUUAUUGAUUGCAUACUCUCUUCUUCCUCGCAUACCGCCGUACUCUAAGUCUACCGAUUACCACCUGGCUCUCACUCUCCUCCAAGGUCGGUCGAAACUAUUCCUAUCGCUUACCCAUUUCCCAAGGACCGAGUGAGCAGCUUUCUUUUAGGAAAGGAAGUGGAGGAGGAGAAGGAAAGUCAAAGUCUGGCUGUGCGAGAGGCCAAUAUGACUAAUGACUAAGGCUAAGAACUGAUAUCAUCUAUUCGAUCAAUGUGGCCUGCCAAAGCGAAUAAUAGAUAAUCCUGCUAUCCUAGCCCCGGAAGGGAUUCUCUACCAUGGUAUAUUCCGAGACCAUCGAUUCCUUCAUCCUUAUAGGCAUUAUAUCCAAGUCCACUAUCAAGGUAUUUUGAAAGGUAUUCGUGAGAGGUUAAGAUUAAGGCUUUAUUAGCUCUUCGCUCUUUGCCAGACACUUACUAAACUGCUCCGCUGCAGGUUAUCAUAGUGAUACCUCAAUCUUUCGCCUGGCUUUGAGCCUUCCUUGAAUCUGGGACUGAACCCUGCUUACUUUCGCUUGUCUAUGGUAGUCCGAAUCCAAGUCUUCGGGAACUUUUCUCUUGGCCAGAACCGGGCAUUGCCCUUGACCAUCCCACCACUAGGAGACUGGGACUCGAGACGUGGUUUAGUAUUCCCUUCCGCUCUUUCAGUCAAUUUCUUUGUGAAGAAUAUCGGAAUAUCUUCGAUUUUCUAAGUUCAACUACAUCUAGAAAUCCAUUGGCUUCCAUCUCUCAAUGAAGGAGAGAAAAGCCUGGCCUCGAGCAGUCGGCUUGCCCUUUUUUUCUUUCCACUAAGCGGGCUCCCGUCUUAUACUCUAACUGGAUCCCAAUAGAUAGGUAAAGAAGACUGGACGUGCUUACCCUAUCCCCGAGAUAAAAGGGAAAGCUGCCUUGUUUAUUUUUGUAAAGGACCAGUAGGCUUGCUUCGCAUAGGCUACACAAGCGGGGUCCCGUGCUUUCCUUUUGUGGGAAUACCCGCCCGGAUAUCAAUGACUCAAGUAUGUUCCGGCCCGAAAUAAAGAGAGAGUUAGAGUGAAUUAGAGACAUAAUCUCACAGAUUCAAGAAAAGAGAGAGGAUUCUUUAAGUCAAGCAAUCGUAGAGACCGAGGUUCAAACAAUAUUGACAGUGGAAAUUCUCCCUCGUAAGGCCUGCAGAACCAAAGAGAAAAAUCUCUGUUUUAGUCUUCGAUUUCAUUCAUUCUGGGUUUUGAGACCUGAUAGCCCACUGCCUUUGCUUUCCUUAUUCAAUGGUAGAAAGUCAAGUCUUCCAUUAUUGGACUAAGAAAGACUUCCGCCUUUCAUUAGAGUAAGAGGUGCUUAGCCCUCUUUGCAAGAACUUGGGUUUAGUGGCUUAGCUCUUUCUCUUGCUAGCUAACCCGUCCUCCGUCCGUCGUCCUCUUUUCCAUACAUUUGUUUUGGAUAGUUUGAUAAAGAAUUAAUAGAGGCUGAAUGCAAUAUGAGUUGCCGAUACAUUUGUUUUGGAUAGUCUUUCGUCAUCAUUAAGAUAGGUACGGACUCUAAAACGUGGGCUUAUCAAAGUAUGAAAAAGAAAUGUAUGGGAUCCUCGUCCAUUCAAUCUUUCUAUUCAUAAUUUCUUUGAAAGCAGAAAAGUGAUGAAACAAGAAAACGAAAUAUAGUGAGGGAGGGCUCGCUCGCUAUAAGCCUUGGUCGAUGACGCUAUCUUUCUUACUUACCCCGAUCCAAUCGAAGAACGGAUCCACUAGCAUUCUCAGCUACAGGAAGGGCUUCUUCCACGGAAAGAUAUCUAGAAAGCGCACCCGAGCGUAGAAAAAUACCUGCGGAUUCACACCUAUCCAACUGCCAAUGCUUAAAGGACAUCACUAUAUAUAUCUACGAUAAAGAGAUUCGCACUUCCUAGUUAAUCUCGUAUUAAUCAGAGCUUACUUACCAAUCAAGAGAUGACGCAACUUCUGCCACUUAUUCAAGAUCAGACUCCCUUGCUCCCUCUUUCAGUGCUCAUUCCUAUUUAUGUUCCCCAGCUUAUCGUACUGACUCAGCGGGGACUUAUUCAACUGCCUCCGCCGGAACAGAUCGAAUGACUACUAAAGAGAGAGUUUUCCAUGUUACGGGGGUUUAUAAUGAAAACAUUUCUUCUCAUUCAAAAGAGUUACGUGAAAUUGAAUAAAUAGGGUUUGGACUCAUCGAUAAAUCCCGCCGAGAAAGUGGAAUCUUUGGAACGUCGAUAAACGGUCUCUUUUAGGAUCAGUUAGCAUUUGCUACACAUAGACUUUUUGUGCUGUGAACUCUUUCAUCCUUUUUGGGGAACUAGGGGGAGGGAUCAACCACGCCUUUCCCACGUCAUCCAUUUUCUUCGGACUGUGCUUUUUUCUCAUUUUCUCUUUUGAAAUACGCAACUUGAGUUCGUAUUGCUGACAAAGACGUGUUCAUCUUUGGGCUUAGAUUUCUUAAUACCCGCGAAUAAGACUCAGGAAAAAGGUUCACAGGCGCAUCCAUCAAAAAAGAAGAGAUAAGGCUUGAAUAGGAAUAACUGGAAAAAGAAAGAAAGCGAGCGUCUUUGGUGCUUCGGCUUCUUCCAUCUUUUUCUCAAGUGAUCAUUCUUUUGCCCAUUUAAGGAAUGGAGCCCGAGAGUCCUCAGAAAUGUCAAGGGCGCGCAGCCUAGCGUGUGGAUAGAGGGCACACAGAUCUUUAGGUUUUUGAACGAUUGCCGAUAAGUUCAGUUCAGGGCUCAGAUAUGGGGAGAUAGCUUACCAUUGGGUAGGUCAUCAUCUGAGAAGGAUAUGGCCAUCGGUGCAGUGAGAAUUCCUACAUAUAGGUCGGUGCUUUCUACAGGUACCCGGGCAUCGGACAAAAAGGGAUUUCAAACUUCCUGGUGCUUAGGAGGAGUUUGUAGGAGCUCUAGGAUGGAUAUGGAGGCUUGGGUCCUAUUGAGUGAGUUGUCCUAACAAGUCAUAAGUUCUUGGCCUCUCUCUCUCUUUCUUCUUGUGCCGUGUGCUCAGGAUGGGAGUACCCUACCUGACCUAAGGAUUGUCCUAUUGGUCGUCAUCAAAGAAGUUCAAAGGUAAUCCCUCUAAGCCAAUAUAAUAUGGAUGUCCUUCUUUCUCCUAGAUAAGAGGCUUUCCCCAUUAGUGCGUGUGUAUCUAGUAGCUGGCCUCCUAGUGGCUAUCCUCUUUCUUUCAGUCCUAAGCUAAGUCCCUCUUCUUAUGUAGGGGCUUCUAAUCUAAGGUACCUCUGUCCCUGGGAAAGUCUUGGAUUCUUCAAAAGAGCAUUCUCAACUUCUCUGUUUAUCGUCCUCUAUUUUCUUUGAAUUUUGAUUGAACUGAACCUUCUUCGAUUUGAGUAUAUAACAAGUAACCUAAUAGGAUAACUAACCAGGAAUCAACGCGCGUAGUUGCGAUAAAAGCCACUUCCUUCUCUUUGUGCGCAGAAUUCAGUUCUUUCUUACCAAAAAGAGUUUCCACCAGAAAAGGAAAAGCGCGCAGUCCCCUCUUUCCGCCUUCCUACCCUUCCCCGCAGAGUCCUUCCUCAGGGCUCGAACCUGCUGCAAUGGACCAACUCCUCAUUCUUGGACCGAAUGAGACCUCUAUAGAAGUUGUGGACUAAUAUGAACUACUCCUCACUUCGCGGACUUUCACGCUCACAAGGAUUGGAACCGUAGACAUUGGGUAAUAUAUCAGAGAAAAGGGGAAUUAUUUCGUUUUAUUAAAGAAAAAAAGGGGAUUCGAUUUCUUAAGUAAAGAUAAGGAUAGAUUUAGAUAAGUUAUCUAAACUUUAUCUUCUUCAUAUAUUAAACCUUUUUCAUAUAUUCAAAACUCUAUCUUCCUUUUUCUUAUAUUAAGCUAGCUAACAACUGAACUAAGAGCUAUUAUUUCUUACGAUUAUAUUACACACGACUGUAAAGACGCGAUAAAGUCAGCCACCCGGAGGAAGGAUAAGAUAGGCAGCACGUCAGAUAAGAUGAUGAGGAAUCCUUAGACUUACGGGCUGGAAUGUGCCGCUUCGCUUAGUCGACUGAAAGAGAAUCGACCUACUUCACUGUGAAUGCCGUACUUCAUCCCGUACUCUGAGCUAAAGGUCAUACUGACUUCCAGAGAAAAGUGAAUAUAUGGAUUUCUUUCGUUUUCUAUCUCGUUCGUAAACUAAAUCUUCCGCUUAUCUGAGCAUUGAGCCUGACUUUCUUCUGAACUUAUAUAAAUGCCUUUCGCCGCUUCGCGCCUACUACGCGGCAGAACUGGAGGCAAGCAACUCAUAUUCAUUCAGCCUACUACGUCCAGAGGAGAGGAGGCCCGAAGCUUUAGCUGGAGGAGGAAAGGCGCGGAGCGAAGCGACUGUUAAGGAGCGCAAAGGAAGACUCUGUAGGAGCCGGAGUUAGGAGUCUUAAAGAGCAGAACCUACGAACCGGAGGCAAGUUACCCAAAUAAGAAGAACGAAUCUUGCAUUCAGCCUCCGGACGGAGCGAAGCGACUGUUAAGGAGCGCAAAGCGACGUAGGAGUCCUCCGGAGUGUUACCGGAGGUAAGGGUCAAAGAAUAUGGAUCAGACUAUUAAGGAGCGCAAAUCGACUCCUACGCCUAUCUUAAUGAUGACGAAAGACUAUCCAAAACAAAUGUAUGGCAACUCAUAUUGCAUUCAGCCUCCGGACUGUGAAAAGUCAAGUCAAGAAAAAAGAAAAGAAGAAUUCACUCAUUAACUCGAAUGAAAGAAUAAUUCUGAUUUCAUCACCUUGUUCAUUGUACUCAAAAUGAAUCUGCUAGAUUGAAGACGGAGGGAAAUCAAUGAUUUUGCUAGGUUUUGCCCAUAGGGAAGUAGCAAGAAAAGACAAAAAAUCAGUCAAAAAAGUACUUUUAUCGUAGAAUAUCAAUAUGAGAAAAAGUCCUAUUUUGCUUCAAAAAAGCCGGGAAAUAGCAAGGCAUUGUCCUAUUUGAUUUUCGAAAUGAACAUAGUUUGUGAAAACUUAGAGUUUCUGGUCCGGAGAAAUACGGGUCUAUUCUUUAUUCCCAAUGAACAAGGGCCUAGGGGCGGUAAACAAAGGGAAGGAACUCAGCUUCUGCUGCAACCGCUACGUGGGCAGAAAGGGAUGCCCCUUGCCUCUCCCUUCUCUUCUGCUGAUUGAGCCUAGCUUCCCAACCGACCUAUGAGAGAUAGCAGGAGGCGCGGCGGCGGUGUAGCCUUUGCUUCGACCUUGAAAUCUUCUUUGAACCUUGUUUUCAUGUGAAUGCGGUGGCAGCAAGUUGGAACCUUUUCUCAUUUUCUUUGAAGAGGGAGGGGACAAGAUAUGUUAAUUAAUUAAUCAAUACGCCUGCCUUACGAAAGAGAGACCUUACGAAAGAGAGAGAGCUCCCUAACCUAGCAGAGAUGAGGCGACUUCUGCACAGCUACUUCUUUUUUCAAGAGAGAAGACUCAAUUCAUGACACUCGGCCGGAUGAGCUUACUCAUGUAACUGAACGAAGUGGAAAACCCGCAAUACGAGAGAGAGCGUCGGACCCGAGGUCCCCUCCUUUACACUGGGAAGGCGGGCAUACGGGGAGCCUAUAUAUACGGCGUAUACGGUUCUCGUGAUCGAUCCGGAACUCCUUAACCCGCUACGUGGGCUUUCCUUCACUCAUUCUCCCUCUUUUUGAGAGAAAAGCAAAGAAGAAAGCCUAUCAAAAGGAGGCUCAUAUUGCUCAGAAGAAGAAUUGCAUUUUGAUGCCUUCUCCAUCGCUUGAUACUACGCCUAUCCUUUACCGGCAUCUCCGAGACCGCGGUCCACUAUGUUCAAGCUCCAUUGGGCGCCUGGCGUCCAAAUUGUGCUAACUCAAAGAUCGAGAUACAAAGCCAGAACUAUCUCAUACUCAAUUCUCAUUGAGUUCUAUUACGAGAUUUCUCAAUUCUUCUUUCUUCAAUUCAUAGACCGAGCUCAUCUGCACCCUUGUUUUUCUACGAACUGAAACAUAGCUUCUGAAAGAGGAGACUGAUUCCUAUGCUACAGGGACUGAUUCCUCUGGAUCCGGAUGUGACCUUUUCUUUUCAUCCCCUUCUUCUCUGAAAAGCAGUUCCAUUCCUAUGAGCCGGCGACCACUCAAUCUGGUUUCCGAUUGAGGCGCCCUACUUUGGAGAGUUUUGAAGCACAAGAAAGCCGUUGGUCUUUGACUCUCAAAAUGGGGUUUACGGGGGGGUGAAGAUUGUGUUCACAUCUUUUCUUCUCAUCUCACUUUGGGAUCUCGUUUUCACAAAGGCGUUAGGAAAGAGAUAAGGCCGACGGCCUAGGUCAAGAGAUCUAGCAAGAGCAGACUCUUGUUCAAGGACAGCUUCCACAGCUACAACGGCUUCUUCUGAAAGUGAAAGAACUGAAACAUCGUCCCCUGCCGCUGGUCGAGACGCUGCCGGUUCUUCCUAUUUGGAUGAGAAUUCCCUAUCUGCCUCCCCUAUUGAUUGAUGUGAAAAUCCGCCUUUUUACCGCGUAGGAGGUGAAAUGUAAUAUGAGAAGACUUAAGAGGAGCGCACACUGGAGGCACGGAAUCGACUACUAUACUAAAUAGGGUUCGAAGAAGAUCGACUGUGUUGGAGAUAGAGAGAUUAGAAGACUCCUACUACGUGGCACGGAAUAAGACGGCAGAGAGAGGAGAAGUACUUUUGAGCUCUUUCUUUGCACUCCUUAACAGUCUCUUCUUCUCGGAGUAUUCGUCUUCUUUGCGCGACUAUCUUUCUCUCUUGAAUUCAUGCGCUUCGCUUCUCAUAUUUCAUUGAACCUUCAGUUUCAUUUUAGUAGGUUGUCGCUUCGCUUCGCGCCUGUCGAGUUUCAGAUAAAGAGUCAAAUCUUUGAAGAAAGAAGCAUUGACAUUAGAAUCCGAGUCAAUUCAUCAAUCAGCCCUUCUUUCUUUUAGCCUUAUCAUGAGAGCAUUCAACAGCUGCUACUGAAGAAA